rnacentral:lncRNA from 1 species
CCUUUGAAAUGGUUUCAUGAUGAACUGUUAUAUUUUUCUCAAAAUCCUCUAACAUGAGAUCAAUAUAGUGUGAUGCACACGGUGUCCUAUAGAGCCUCUUCCUUGUAAACAUUAACAUUGUAGCAACAAAUUGGUAAUUUGUUGCAUUGUCGGUCACAAUUUGCACAACAUUUUUUAUCUAACUUCUUCUACUACUUGAUCAAUUAUUUGAUAUAUUUUAUCGGCAAUUUUAAUUAAUGAGAAUCAUCUAUUGACUUUAAAAAAACAGUAUCUUUCGGGCUGUUAACUAAGAAAUUCAAAAGUAUCAUUCGUCUUUUGUCCAUUCACCAAUCACUCAUAAUAGUACAACUUGUCUUCUUUCAAGUAAGUUUGUGUUCUUCAAUGACCUUAGUUGUCUCCUCCACCUUUUGCUUCAAGUACUUUGUUCUGAUUUGAUGUAGGAAGGUGGCUUAAAACCAAUGUCGUGUCUUGAAACCAUCUCCAACAUCCUUUUAAAUUCAUCGCUCUUUGUCACAUUAAAGGCUAUAACAUUAUUGUAGAAGAACGAAGCUAUUUCUAGACACAUUUUGUCCUUCAAAUUCUUCUUAAAAAUGUUGUUGAUGAUGGCUUGAGUACUUACUAUAUUUCUCUUGAAUUUUUUUGCAGGGGUAUCAUUCUGAUCAUCCUCUAAUGAUCUUUUUUCCUUAUACUUUUUCAUUAUUUGUAUCAUUCUCUUAUGUGUUAUUCAAUGAUGUAUCUUUCAAGGAUUUUAUAAAUUCCAACAUGUGUUUCUUCACAUCAUCAGGUACAACAUCACAUGCAAUAAUUUUGAGCUAUGUACUAGCCAAACGGUGUUUCAGUCUAUACAUUCCUCCAAUAAGUAUUUUUCCACAAUAAUUGCAUUUUAUUUUUUUGGUUCCUCCAUCAACAGAUACACCAUGUUUUCCUACUAUAUCAAUUCUGCUUCCUAAUGCAUUUUUCUGCACUCUGGGAGGUGCAGAACUAGAACUGCAGGCAACAUGAACAAAUGUAGACAUGAGUGAAAUCGUGAGGCAGCAAGAGAAAUUGCAUAUUACAGUGAAGAGGAUUGAGGAUAGUUUCAGAUAUGAGAUUGAAAAGAGUUGUAGAUGAGAAGAACUUAUAGAAGAAAUAGAAUGAGGGAAUCUGAAAUUGAAUCAUUUAAUUGAAGUAUUAGAAAUUGAAGGAGAGACUUAAAACCAAGACUUGGAAAACGAGCAGAGGCUGUAAAGCAGAAAACGAAUAGGAAUAGAGGCUUUGAGGAAUACGAAAUGAGCAGAAAAUAAACAUAAUACGAAAUGAAUAAUUGCUGGUUGCUGCUGCCUUCAAAUCCUCGUGCUCUUUUCUUUAUGGGAAACAAGCACAAUACGAAGGCGAAGAGGUGCAAAAUGGGCCAGAGCAUGGAUUUUUUCAACCGAGUCAAAACGAUGUAAACGGGUCAGAGCUUCGCGAAAUGACGCCUCUCAUACGCGACGAGGCUCGCCGCUCCCACGCUUCCACUGCGCGCCCACAUAUCUCGGUCAUAUGACGCUCUUUCCUUUGCUCUAACACUACUUAUGUUGUAAAACGCGUAAGAUCUAAGGAUCUUACGCUUUAGAGCUCGCUCCUAAGAACAAUGGUCAAAACUAAAUUUAGAGAAUUGGAAAUACUACAUAAAACCUAAGAAUUUCAAAAAUUCUCUUUACUUUAUAGUAAAUAAAUCAUGAAAUGGUUAGUAUACUUUUUACAAGUUAACAAUUUUGACCCUGCAUGUUUCAAAAUUUACAUAUUAGUUUUUAUAUAUUUUUAUUUUUUUGUAAAUUGGUCCCCAAAAAUUAGAAAAUAGUCCCUCAACUUUUACUGAAUUUUAGUUUUGUUCAAAUAUAAUUUUUAUUUUUGUCUUAAAACUUUUGAAAUUUAUAAAAAUAAACUAAUUUUUAAAGAAUAAUUAUUUUAUUCAAAUAACAAAAUUUAGAAAUAAAAGAAAUGAAAUUGAAAUAUUUGAAUUGUCUCAAAUUUUAAUUUUCUUAAAAUUUUCAACCACUCCAUUCAAACACACUCGAAUUUAGGACAUUUGUUAGUAUAUUAAAGAUAUCAUUUCUCUAACUUUAAAAUUGUUCAAUUCAUUUUUUUUAAAUAUAAUUACUAUUUGUUUCUUUUAAAAUAUAUGUUAGCAUGACUCUUAACCACCAACUAUACCUUAAAUGGCGACUUUAAUUCUAGAUAGAUUGAUAAACAUAUCAUAUCAAUUUACAUCUACAUAGUUGACAAUUGAGUUUACUAAUCGUCCCUCUCAGCUUUAAAUUUUUUUUAAUAAUAAAAAAAUUUAGAUAAUUAAGUACUAAUGACUCACCAAAUAGACGGCACCAUUGAUUCAAUGUAGGAUCUCAAAAACCACCAAAGUGAGAAGCUAGUAGCAGAAUUGUGACAUAGUUCAAUAGUGGAAAUGGUGGCAUGGUAUUUGCAAACACUCCUAACACAAAUCGGUGUUUGAGUGAUGUGUGUGAGAGGAUCAUCCCUUUAUAUAUGCGAGGUCAUCAAGUCUCCUUUUGUGGGAAUAAUUAAUGCUUUCAAUUCUCAAAGGUAUGUGUGAAGCGCACUUGGUUGACCACUCUUAAAUUAAUCAAGCGACGAUAAUCACUACCUUUAAGAGUUUUAUGAAAUGAAUUGGAUUUUUUUGGUAAAAACUAUUUAAACAUGUCUUUGUCGAGUUCGAAUUCAAAAUAUAAUAAAGACAAUUAAUAACACACAAGAGUACGCUGUAUGUGUAUGUAGGAAUAUGUCAAAUAAUGUUUAGAGUCAACAAAAAAGAAUUGAGAAAAUGAUGUGCAUGUGCCCAAUUUGUUAAUUACUAGUUGAUAAAAAAUUCCCAUGUUAUACUUGUCCUCAAACCUCGCAACUGGGAUCUACAAUUUUUAAGUUGAAUUCAAUGAAUUAUGUAUGCAAAACCAUAAUUUUAGUCUUUGAAAUUGUAUAAAAUUAUCACUUUAAUCUUUGACUUAAUCAAAAAUUAUCAAAUCAUUAUUGGUUUUGCGUGUCUCUCCUUUGGGCUGACUCUACAUACAUAAUCGGUAAACUAUCAUUUUAGUUUAUAAAAGUGUGGGGAUUUGUCAUUUUGAUUUCUAACUCGGUCAAAAAUUCAAAUAAUUAGUCCUCAAAUCAUCAAAAUGCUAGUCAGCUUAGCCUUUCAUCUAACAGUAAUUGACUAUUUUGAUAGUAAGUUAUUACUUUAGGCCUUACAAAAAAUAUUUUAUUUUUGUUUUAAUUUUAAUUUUUAUACGGUGGUCCAAAACUAUAUUAUAAAAACUCUUUAACGAAACAAAAAAUGACUCUAAAAAACUUUUAAUUUCCAAUUUUUAGCAUAAUUAUUAUUUGAAUUGAUAGAUAUAUUGAUUGUACUACUAGGGUUUUCGAGUCAUUCUCACAAGAGGGUGUUUACAACGUUGUACUCUUAGAAAUUAUUUCUCAACAGUUAUACAAAGCAAAAAAUUAAGAACAAGAGUACUGAGACGACUGUAUUUUAUUGUGUAUUGUUGUAAAUGCAAGAAAUCAACAUAUAUCAUAAAGUUUCAAAUCAAAAUAUGCAGAGAUUGAUUCACCAUUAAAGCUUGUCUAAAAAUAAGCAUGUAAUUGAUUAUCCGUAUCUUGAUAGGGUGACAUAAAGAGAAGAGGAUAUCAUGAUCAGUGUAUGUCACAUAGAACUUUAGACAAAUGACACAUUCAAAGUGUUGAACACUGUAUGCACAAAUUUAUUUUCUUCAGAGUGUUGACUUUUUUAGCAUUGACUUUUUAGCGUUGACUUUUUCAGAGCGUGUUCACCAGGCUAGGAAUACAUAAGUUAGAGCAAAGUCUUGGUGUUCCUUCAACUUGGAUCAAACAUUAGAGAAUGCAUUACAAAGUUAUAUAAAAUCCCUGAUCAGGGAACUGCACACUUAAAACAAGUAAGGGUCAAAGUUCUUCAAACCAACUUUGUUCUAACAAUCUCCCCCUUUUUGACGAUGACAAUGUCUUUUAUUGUGAACAAUUUUUUAUUUUUAAAGUAGUAAAAAAAGAAGAAUAACAUAGAAUAUCACAACAAGACUCCUCCUUAAUAUAUGCAUAUUUAAAUGUAAGAGGAUGAAAUAUAUUUUGACAAGAUAGAUGAAAAACGUUAUUAAUUGAAAUUAAAAAAACUUAAGAUUUUCAUUAAACAUUUUCAUUAAAAUUGUUCAAGAUAUUCUCCUCAUUUUGCCAUUGGACAAAAAGAGUAGAGUAGCCAACAAGUAGUGAAGCAAAAGAAAAUACAACAGAGGAAAAAAAUCACAUGCACACAAAGAAACAAAAAUUCAAGGAACUACAAAUUUGAGUUGGUCAUCCUAGCUAAAAUUAAAUUUAGGGUAGUUUGAUUAUUCUUUGGAUUAUUGGCUGUAUAUUCCAUGAAUACCUCAAUCUUAGGUUCCAGAUGAUCAAAGUCUUCGUUCUAGACAAAUUGGGAAGGAUCAAACACGGGUAGAGGGUGUGACAUAUUUACUUUUAGAGGUAGAUUUUGUAGAACCUAAAGCAGUUGCAACAGAAACAUCCAACAAAUUGAAAUGGUGCUAAGGGAGCAAUCAUUUGGGGUUCCAUAUGAAUACCACUAGAGGGAGAUAAGUUUUUCCUUGCCUAGUAGCUUUCUGGACCAAUUGCUUUGGGUUUCUAGAACUACAAGAUCCAUAAGUAGAGGAUCUCAAUUGUUUGUUUGGAAGCAACAUAAUUCUUUGAUGCAAACUGCAUUCCAUGAUCCAUGUUGUUCCUUAUCCAGUUAGUGAAAAAAGAUUGCAUGCUGAAGUGAUUUUGACAAUGAUAGAAGUAAUGAAAGAGUCAAGGUUUAGAAAGCCAGAUGAAAUGAAGUGUGUGAAAGGAAUGAGGUCUAAAGGGGUGAUGAAGGUGGCAUGUUCGAAUGAAAAAGAAGGUGAAGGAGAAGCAAAUGAGUCUUUUGAAGAUGUAUUAGAGACUAAGUAAAUGAUCAUUUGAGCUGCUUGGUUAAGGGAUUCACAAGUUUAGAGGAGGAAGGGUCAGAGGCAGAUUUGGAGAGGCUAUGUGUUUGUGAAAUGGUAGAGUUGGUAGCUGAUAGUGUUUAUGGAGUUUUGGUCUUGAGAGGGAGAUAAUUUGUUUUAUAUUUGAGAGGAUGUUUUCGAGUGUUUAUCCUCCUACUUCCUCUACAACUUGAAUGAGGGAAAUCCUUAAUAGUACAAUAGUGAUGAGUUUAGGAUAGGGGAUAGUUCUGAUCUUUCUUGACCUAGAGUUUGCGACACAUAACCUCAUGUGUUACAAAAUUAGGUUUGGAAGAUUGGUCUUGAUCCUCUGGGAGAUAUUCCGCAUUAGACCCAUGUGGUCUUUGCUAAUGUGGCCCACAAACCCACCUUUGGGUACUACACACCCAAUCAAAAUCUUGAAAAGAACUUCGUAUCUAGGUUUCAAGUGAACUUAUUUGGAGUUGACCUUAGGAUGUUCUAACAAUUCCUUAUUGAUCUUGAAUGAACCAACCUUUGACUCAUAACCAUUAUCUAGCAACAUACCUUCAUUAGGACAUCUAGUAAUAAUCGCUAGGGAUUGUUGGGUAAUCUUAACGCAAAACCCUAGUACGUUACUAGAUACUUCUUCAUGUCCAAUGUUCUUUAACUAGAACAUCCAAAGACACUUCUUGUUCUAGGUUAAAUUACUUAGACCACCCCACACCAGCAAAGUCUUCAAUAAAAUCAAAAUCAUUUUCAUCAAUGUUCUAGAAAUUUACUUGGAGUUCAUAGAGAAUUUCUAACUGAUCAAGAUUGCAUUGCAUGGUAGGCACAUAAGAGACAUUGCUAAGAGAACGGUUGGAGGAUGAACUUGAAGCCAUUUGAAGCCGAAGAGAUUCAAAUGGUUUUUUUUGGAAAGUUUCAAGGUUUGAAAGAGGGCAAGAGCAAAAAGUGUGGGAAUAUGUGAGGGGCGUGAGUGAUCAUGAGUGGUGAGUGAGCUUUAUCAAAACGUUUUGAGUUUCUAAAAUUAACUAACGUGCACGUGUAAACAUGCGUAAACAACACUCAUCAGAGUAUCAUAGACUAUGCACAACUUAUAAGAAAUUUUUUCAUAUUAAGUUAAUUGGAUUUAGAUUGACAAGAGGCACAUGUAAAUUCAACUUCAUUAGAGGCAAAGCAUAUAUACAUUUAAUCAUUUACUCUAUUUUACCAAGUGAAACAACGCGGAGACUUUAACAUCAUUCUUUUAGAAACAUAAUGUUUACAUUUUUCUUUUUAAAAUUGAAUAUGUCAUCAACAAGGGGUUUUGUGAAAAUGUCAAAUCAGUGAUGCCUAAUCUUUAUAUGUUUUUCCAUUAAGUGUAAAAUAGGAUUUUUGGUUAAACAUAUAGUUGAAGUAUUAUCACAAAAGACAAGAAUAUUACUCUCAUUGAUUUUGAAGUCACUUAGUUGAUACUUCAUCCACAACAACUGAGUGCUACAACCUGUUGCUGAGAUAUAUUCUGCUUCUACUGUUGACAUAGCAAUAGUUCUUUAUCUUUUGCUUUACUAAGAGAUUAGUUUUUCACCAAGAAAUGUACAGUUUCUAGUGGUGUUUUUUUUUCUAGCUUAUCUCCAACAAAGUCAGCAUCACAGAAACCUACUAACCUCUACUUAGAGGAUGACUUAUAACACAGACCAAGAUUAGUAGUACCUUUCAGAUAUCUAAAGAUCAUCUUAACAAAUUUUAAGUGAGAUUCUUUAGGGUCAAACUGAAAUUUGGCACACAAGCACGCACUACAUAAUAUAAGGUCUAGCGGUAGUUAUCUAGAGGAGAUAACCAAUCAUUCCUAUGUAUACCUUCUGAUCUACCUUUUUAGUUGAAUCAUCCUUAUCAUGACAACAUGUCGGAUGCAUAUGUAUAGACAUAGGCUUACAUUCAUCCAUUUAAAAUUUCUUAAGUAGUUCUCUUGUGUAUUUGGUUUGAUGAAUGAAUACACCAUCUGGGCUUUCAUGAAUUUGGAUUCCAAGAAAUAAUUUUAAUUCUCCCAUCAAGCUCAUCUCAAAUUCAUGUUGGAUUAACUUAGAAAACAUUUGGCAGAGCUUGCCGUAAGUAGAACCAAAAAUGAUAUCAUCAUAAAUUUGAACAAUAAAAAGGUCAUUCUUAGAUUAUUUCCUAAAUAAAGUAGUGUCAACAUGACCUUUUUCAAAAUCAUUGUUUAAUAAGAAAUUUCUUAGUCUAUCAUACAAAGCUCUUGGUGCCUAUUUCAGACCAUACCGAGAUUUAUUUAAUUUGAAAAUAUAAUAUGGAAAUUCAUUAUCUUCAACGCCAUGAGAUUUUCUGACAUACACUUCUUCAUUUAUGUAACCAUUUAGGAAAAUAUUUUUCCACAUCCAUUUGAUAUAAAAUGGUUUUAUUAAAUACUGCAAAUGAAAAUAAAAUUCUAAUAGUCUCUAACUUUGCCACAGGGCCGAAAGCUUCAAUGCAAUCAAUACCUUUUUGUUGACUGUAUCAUUGGGCUACAAGUCUAGCCUUGUUUCUAAUAAUUUCACCUUUCUCAUUAAGUUUGUUUUUGAAAACUCACUUGGUUCCAAUUGAACUUUUCUCUUUAGGCUUGGGUACAAGAUCUCAUAUGUCAUUUCUUUUGAAUUGAUUCAACUCUUCUUGCAUAACCAUUAUCCAUCCAUCAUUUGAUAGACUUCGUCUAUAGUUGUAAGUUUAAUUUCAGAUAAUAGACCGAACAUAGGUUUUUCUUUAAAUGUUGAUUUGGUUUUUAGAGGAUCACUUGCACUUUCUAUGAUUAGAGAGUUUGGAUGUGAAGUUGUAUUUCCAUCCAGGUUUGGAUUCCUGAUGAUAUUGAAUUGUGGGAGGUUCAUCACUGCUUGUGCCUGAGUUAUCAGGCAUAUCUUUUGAUUCAUUGGAGGUUGGUUUUGUUUGUUUCUCUGAUAUCUGUAGAUCUGCAAAAUCUACAUCUAACUUUGACUUUUUAUGGUCAAGCUUUUUGUCAUUAAACUUGAAAUGAAUUGAUUCCUCAACAAUUAGUGUUUCUUUAUUGUAUAGUCUGUAGGCUUUAAACCUUUUAGAGUAUCCCAAAAAGGUGCACUUUUGAGAUCAUGACUCAAAUUUGCCAAGAUUCUAUUUAUUAUUCAAAAUAUAGCAUAUGCAACCAAAUUGAUGAAAGUAUGAAAUGUUGGGAUUUAUUCUUUUCCAUAGUUCAUAAGGAGUCUUAUUAAGAAUACGUCUGAUACAAAUUCUAUUAUGAAUAUAACAUGCAAUGUUCACUGUUUUUGCCCAAAAGUAUUUGGCAACAUACAUUUCAUGAAUCAUGUUACCAUUUUCCAAAGAGAUCUAUUUUUUUCUAUCUGUAACACCGAUUGGUUGAGGUGUUCUAAUAAAUGAAAGCUAUUUUCAAAUUCACCCCCAUAUGAUCACUAAGAAUUGUUGCAAUAUAAAAAUCAUUUUCAUUUUGCACUUGUUUGUAGAAGAUAGUGAAAUAUUUAUGUGACUCAUCCUUGUGUUUAAAGAACUUUAUCCAUGUCCAUCUAAAAUAAUCAUCAACAAUAAUGAGUACAUACUAUUUAGCACUAACAGAGGUAGUAUUUAUAGAGCCAAAUAAAUCAAGAUGUAAAAGUUCAAGUGGUCUAAAAGUGAAAGAAAAAAAAAACAUUUUUAGAGGAAAAUUUUGAUUUUGUUUGUUUCUGUAAGACCCGUAAUUUAUUUAUAACAAGAAUUAGGGAUUAUUGUAUAAAGAAUUAGGGCUUACUGUCUAAUUAUUCCUUCUAUUGUUUAUUAAGUUGUUUGUUUAUCGUUUUUAUUGUCUGUGGCAAUUUGUACUUAAGAGAUUUCUUGCAGAACAAGGUAGGUUGGUUGUGCCUUUUAGGUAUCUAAGGAUUCUCUUAACAACAAUUAAAUGUGAUUACCUAGAGUCAACUUGCUACUAGACGGUUCGUCCUGCUGUGGGCUUCCGCCAGAGUGCGGCUCAAACAACAUCUACUCAUGAGAUGCAAAUUCCUUUAUGAGCCAUGUUCAUUACCACCUAAACCCGGGGGGAGCAAUCCAUGACUCAUAUAUUAGGGACUUUCCAAGCUAGCCAAGCUCAGUCCACGAGCUUGCCCAGUCAGUUUGAGAGCUGGACAAGAUUGUCAAGAACAUUUCGAGCCUAUCAUAGCCACAAAAGAUGACUAAGACAUGUGUUGUCCAAGAAAGUCACGCCCUUUCCAAGAGUUGGCUUAUUUUGUCCGAGUGUUACUGAGAUUUGGACGAGUCUGCUAGUGUCUACCUUAGUCAUGGACUACGAGGUCCUCCCCCCAUAUGUGCUUGUUAUGCUUUUGCCAAUUUUGUAGAAAAAGAGCCCCUUUUCGCUAUCGGUGGAAAACGCAAUUAGAGGGACCUAGAGUUUGAAUCUGUUUAUGAUUGUUUGCAUCAAUGCUUAUUAACAUUGUAACAAGCUUCACAAAAAAAUUGGAAUAUUUUGGAAAGCAAUGGAUUUUUUAAUAACUUUUAAGGGGUAAAAGUUUGAGAUUAGUGACCUAGAAUUCAAGUUUUUUCAUGAUUAUUUACAUGCACAUUUUGUAUAAUUAAAUAACACUUCCCACUAAAAUUUGAAAUUUUUUAACAAGAGAUGAGUUAAUUAGGAUUUUUUUAAGGGAAAAAAUAUACAAAAAAAUCUAAUUGAUACAAUCAAAUACUUCAGUCUAGUUUAAUAUAGGAUUCAAAAUCCAAUUGAAUAUAUUUGGUUUUAAUUAUAUUAAUAUGCUACGAGCCUAAUGUUUAGCCUCACCCUUUAUUCCUUAUUCAAUAAACCUAGUCUCUAAUUCAUAAUGUUUUAUAAAAUAUCAUUUGUUCUUUUUUAUAAGUAUUUGUGUGUGUAAUAUUAAGACUUAUUCAACCCAAUCCCCUUUCCCAAAUAACUCUUAGAACUAAUCAAACUAUUCAUACAAAAUAAAAGUUCAUCCAAAGUCAUCAGAAUAACAUCUCUGUUGUCAUUUUGUAUGAGCAAAUUUAAAUUUAUCUUUUGAAAAAUAUAAAAAAUAUAUUGUGUUGAUGAGGCAAAUAGGGGCAAAAGCAGCAGCGAUAGGAGAAGGAGUUUGUCAUUUUGCUUCUAACAUAUUUGGUAAACAUGCAUGUCUCGCACGCAUCUAAAAAGUAUGAAUAUGUGGUUAACAUUGAUAAAUAAAUUGUAAUAAUGCAAAUACAAUUACUUGAUAAAUUCUUUUCAUUUUCAUCAUUUGUUGGUGUCAUGUCUUAAAGCAACAGAAUUGUGGAAAAAAAUAUAGCAUGUGAAAGUUGCUUAUAUAAGAAAACAAGUGGGUUCAAAGACAUUAAUUUGAAAAAAAUGAGAAAUGAAAGAGUUCAACAAAGACAUGAAUUUGAAGAAAUGAGAAAUGAAAGAGAUCAACUUUGAGAGGAAUUGACUAAUACAAAUAUAGCAGUUGAGCACAACCUAUUGAUAAAACAAUUGAUGAAUAACUUGAACUUUAAGCUAAAUUCAUAUACUAGAGACCAAGUUCUUGAUGAUGAGAUUGAUGAUAAUCAUGUUGGUAAUCAUGAUAAUGAAGAAUUAGAUGGACAGUGACAAGUUAAUCUGAAGAAAAAAAUGUGUUGCAUUUUGUUUCGACUAAAUUAUAUUAUGUUUAGAUUAAAAUUUUAGUACUUCGAAAUACAACUUAAAUAUAUUAUGUAAAUUGAUAUGUUAAUACAUUUAAAUGUUUUUGUUGUCAUGUAAAAAAAAGUUUUUGUGUAUGAUUCUUUUUAGAUAUUGAUAUCAGAUUUAAAAAUGUAUUUUUAUUGUUCGUCAGGACCAUUAUUACAAUAUCUUAAAAAAAUGGCAAAUUUUUGUCCAUUAAUACAAUAGAUUCAAUUACAAAAUGUGUCUCAAAAUCAAUCACCAAUAGUAUAGAAAAUCAAUUCAAAAUGGUCGCUAAAUUGGUCUAAAAUUUUAGUCUCUAAAUCAAUGUCCAAAGUCACUCACUAAAUUUCAGUCGUUGAUUCUGUCGUCAACAAUUAACGACUAAGAAUUUAUCAACUAGAUUUAAAUGGUCUCUAAUUCAAUUGCUAAAAGAAACAUCGGCUGAAUUUUAAAACAUAGUGAUCGAAAAGACAAUCACUAAAGACAAAAUUUGUAGUAAUGAAAGACGUGAGAGAGACGUGAGAGAUAGAUAAAAAAAUAAAAUAAGUUAAUUGAAAGUAAAAAAUGAGGAGUAUGUAUGUACUGUGUAUGUACAAUGUAUAAUGAAACAGUAUUUAUGUUACAUUUGUGUGAAAAACUAUGCUCAAUAUAUCAUUUCUAAUCCAUUAAUAACAUAUAGACCCACCUUGUAUCCUUAGAAAGUGUACAAACAAUGUCCUACACAACAACAUAUGCAGCUAGUACUCAUAAAUGUUCUCUGUCAUACAAAGAAAAAGGAGAAAAAGAAAGGAAUCCAUCACUGAUGUCUAUAGCAUUUCUAUCAUUCCUGUCAGAUAGAUAUUCAAAUUUCUUAAUAAAUGUGGUCCCAAAAAGGUUGACAAUUAUGUUACAAAUCCAUCGAUAACUUGCAAAUGAUAAAAUCUAAAGUUGAUUAAAAACAUACUAAAUGAAAAGUUAUUCUAUAUCAAAGAAUAAAUUCAUAUUUUAUUAUCAUUAAUUACUUCAAAACUUUCGGUUAAAAUAGUUAAGUUAUUUUUUUAAUUUGAUUUUAUCUAAAAGUUACUUAAAUUAAAAUCAUUUACUUUUAAAUAUUUAUUGUAAAAAAAAAAUAUUUAUGAUGUAACUAUACCUUGGAUUUUGUGUCAUUCAAUAGUAAAACUAAAAAUACACUUAAUUCAGAAUUUAUCCACUUUUACAAACAUGUAACUUAAAAUAUGACCUUACUAACAUGUACACUUUGAAAAUUAAAAAAAUUUAUUGCGAAUAUUCUUAGCAAGUUUAAAUCCCCUCAAAUACUUGAAUUUAUUUAUGAGAAAAAAAAUUAUUUAAUAAUUAAAAUAUUAAAUACACAUCUUUUCUUUAUUCUCUAAUCACAAGUCACUCUUGGUGUGUUAACAAAUGAAUGGAGAGAGAAUGGUAGAUUAUUAGAGACAAGGGGGAAAAGGCAUGUUUUUUUUCCAUAUUCACGCGUGCAUUCUUUUUGAGAUUUCAAAACACAACAGCACUUUUUUGCUGCCAAUUACUGUUAAAAAGAGACCUUUCAAUAGAGUUUAGUAACCAACAACAACAAUAACAACACUUUCUUCAACACAACACUCUUCUUCAUUCAUUAAUUUCUCCAAACAAGACACUUCUUCUAAGCUAAACAAGCAAUGUCCGUAAGUAAUUAUUACACCCUCUAUUUUCUUUCUUAGUUAUUACACAUAAAUAAAUUAAAUUGUGACUAAUGUUGGUGUGUAAUGUGCAAUGUUGUAGAAUAUGGUUGAAGUUAGAGUUCCAAAUCUUGAUUGUGAAGGGUGUGCUUCAAAAUUAAAGAAAGCUCUCUUCAAGCUCAAAGGUACAUUUUGCAUAAACAAUUUUUUUUUUAUCCUUAAAUUUAUUUUUUCUUUUAUCAUAUUAAUAAUAUUGACGAAAAUUCAACCAUAGUUGAAAAUAUGAUAAGAGUAUACAAUUUGUUGUUUUAGUUAAUAUUGUCAAAACAAAGAAAAAAUUAUUAUUUUUAAAAAUGGGAACAGUGAAUUAAUUAUCACUCACUCUUAAUAAACAUGCACAAAAACAAUAUGAAAUUACUUACUCCAUAUAUUGAAUGAAGUCAAAUAAUAGUGAAAUGUUACAUUUGAAUUAUGUCAUGACUCUAAAGAAAAUUAUUAGUUGAGUUGAAUCAAUAUAAAAUUAGUAUCAUGUCUAAAAUCUUUAUUAUUUGUAGGUUCUACAGUAUUUAAGUGAAAUGAAAUUCAAUAAAUAAAAGUAUAUUAAUGAAAAUAAUAAUAAUAAAUGUUGCAAUAGUAUUUUAAAGUGACAAUUAUUUUGAAACACCAAAAAAGUAUAAAUAUGAUAUUUAAUAUGAGUACUAUAAAGAAUUUUUAAGUCUUUAAUUUAAUCUACUAUUUAUCUCUAAAAGUUAUAGAAUUACAAUACGAAUUCAGACGCUGAAUAAGUAUUUUGAUUCUGAUGACUAACAAAUUUUCCUUCGUCUUAACAAAUUAACCACCAUUGAUAUAUAUAUAUAUAAAUUUUUUUAUUUCUUGUGUCAUUUGUAAUCUUAAAUUGUUGUAUUAAUAAAAAUAAAAAUAAUAUUUUAUUUUGUGAUUUAUAGGAGUAGAAGAUGUAGAGAUUGAAAUGGAGGCACAAAAGAUAACAAUAAGAGGGUAUGGAUUAGAAGAAAAGAAAAUAUUGAAAACAAUCAAACGUGCAGGGAAAGCAGCUGAACCAUGGCCAUUUCCAGGACAUGCACAUUUUUCUUCAUUUUAUAAGUAUCCAAGUUACAUUGUUAAUCAAUAUUACUAUGAUGCAUAUAAAAGUGAAGCAACAAAUGGUGUUCAUACUUUUUUCCACACUCCUUCUAUUUAUUCAGUUGCUGUUGCAUCUGAUGAGGCUUUUGCUUCAAUUUUUAGUGAUGAUAAUCCUCAUGCUUGCUCUAUAAUGUAAGCUAGGUUCAUGUUCAUUUUGUUUAAUUUAUUUUUUCUUUGAAAAUUGAGUGAGGUAUCUUUUUGCACUUUCAAGGAAUCAUCAAGUAUUUUGUGUUUUUUUAUUUGUUAAUUUGUUUUUAUUUUUUGCAUUAUUUUCUUGAAUGAGUUAUGGUCAUAUAUCACUUAACUAUUUGUUCAAAAUAACUUAAGAUAUAUGCUUUGGAUUGAAGGGUUUCACACAAUAUAGCUUUGUUAUUAUUUGGAUAUAAAAAAAUAUUUAUAUAUUAUUAUUAUUUAUAUUUUGAUUAUUAAAUUAAGGGUCUCAACUUCUUCUCUUAAAUUAAAAUAACUUUGUCAAAAACAAAUUAUCCAAAUUUUUUAUUAAUAUUGAAUUUUUAAAGCUACCAUUCAAAAUUGUAAUGUAUUAAUAGAAAAAAAGCAACGGUUCAAAAUUGUUCCUAAAACUAUCUAAGGGAACAUUUUUCAAUUAUUUCAAAAAAAAAAUGACAUAUUAACAAUCUAAAAUUGUUCUCAAUUUUAUUCUAGAAAUAUUUAAUUUAUGUCACUUGACAAUUUAACAAACUCUAUAGUUGCCACAAAGUAAUUCUUUAGACAUUUCUUUCCUUGUACAAAUCUCGUUGUCCCUAUGUGGGGCAACUCUAUUUGGAGAUUUAUAUGUUAUUGUCUAUAUUAAUACUCAUUUUACAAAAUAGAACUUAUAAGUGUGAGGUAAGAUAAUUGAAACUUAAAAUUAAAAUAAGAUGAAAUUUAUCUUGGAUUGAACGAAUGAGCCAUGUAAUGUGUAAUGGUAACUAUUCUUAAGAUUGAUUUAAUAUUUUGAUAGAUGUAAAAAUUAUGUUUGUUUAGUUAGAUAAUUCAAUGUGUCUUUAUUGAUUCUCUAAUUUUCAAUAUCCACAAAUGCUUUUGAAUCAUGAAAAAUUCAUUUAGUCAUUCAUAAGAUUAGUUGGAUUGCAUGAUACAAGAUCAUGUUGGUACACUUUUAAAUGCAUAAAAAACCUUUUCAAAAUGAAUUUUAAUUUUGUAAAUUAACUCUCAAGCUUGUAAAUUGAUUUACAAAGGUCCUAAACUCAUUAAUUUCAAGUGUUUCAUGUAAGAAAUUUACUGACACAUUUUUACUCUUCUGAUAUAAAAACAGAAAUGUUAAUCACCAAAUGCGAAAUAAAUGUGGCCCAUAAAAGAAUUACCUUUAGCCAUUGUUGCAAAAAGAAAGAACUUCAAGUUUCUAUGUUAUUGAUUCUUUUAAGCUUUCACUCUUUUACUAUAGGUUGUGUAUAUAGAAACAUUGGAUGAGAAGCUUAUGAACUAAUGACCUAUUUAUAGACAUUCUACCAUAAAAAUUGCAUUGCAUAUCCAUUGACAAAUACAUUGAAUGUGAUAAAACAUCAACAUAUUAGAGUUUUAUGUAUAGAUACAAUCAUAAAGUAGAACCAAGUCACAUUUUCUCCAUAUGAUCCUGAAUUUUAUUGGUGGCAUGCAUUUUGUCAAGGUAUCGACGAUAAUCAAAUCAGUGCUAAUGUGUUGAAUGGCCACUAGUUUAUCUUUAACUUUUUCUCUAAUGGCUAAGUACUUGAUGUUGAUAUGUUUACUUCGACUUCCAAUUUUGUUGGUCUUAACCAUAAAUACAUCAGUUGAAUUAUCGCAAAAACUUUUCAAAGGACUGAAAAUAGAAUCUACGAUCUUAAGCCUUGAAAUAAAACUCAUAAACCAUACUCCAUGGGGUAGCCUCAAAACAAGAGACAAACUCAACUUCCAUAGUAGAAGUGGAAACCAAGGUUUUCUUAGCUCUUCUCUAUGAAAUAGCUCGUCCGAUCAUCAUAAAAUGUAUCUUGAUGUGGAUUUGCAAUAACCAACACAACCAUCAUAUGUUUUAAGUACACAAUUCCUAGAUCAGGGAUUUUAUAUGACUUGCAUUUCAUCCUCUUAUGUUUGAUCCAAAUUAAAGGAACCCCAAAACUUUGCACUAAAACGCGCAUCUGGUGACUUUAUCUAAUACAAGAAAUGUAUUGAUUGGAUUGUCUUUGAUGCAUACAGCCAACAUAUGUUUACUUUUGCCUUUGAUUCAUACAACCAACAUAGGUUUACUUUUUCCUCUGAUUAUCUAUCUGAUAAUUUUGUCUGGCAUUUGAUUGUCUGCCUCCAUUGAAAAAGUCAAAGUUCUGAUAAUAAGUCACCACUCAAGAUAGUCAACGCUCUGAUGCAAGCAAUCUCAAUGAAAUGAAAAUCUCUGACAAAGCCAAUGCUCCAAAAAGUUAAUGCUCUGGAGAAAACAAAUUUGUGCAUCAUCUUUGCAAAUUUGUAGAUGUCUAAUAAGAAUCACACCAAGCACAAAUGAAAGUUAAGAUCCAUAGGUUCAACGUUUAUAAAGAUAUCAGAACCAAAUUUAUAUUCAAAACAGGAGAAAAAUGCAGUAAAUGUCAGACACCAGAUGUUGUGCACCUAAAGCACAAAUCCUACGCCUAGGGCGCAUUUUUGCAUUCCUGAAUCUGCUCAGGUGGGCAUGGAGCGCAACUGCUACGCUUAGGGCAUAUGGUGUGUUACAUAAUGCAUAAAAACAGAUUUUCUCAUUUUCUAGGGAUCGUUUUGGAAAUUGAGAAGUUUGGAGACUUGUGCCCUAAUAGAGAAACUCAAAGACGGCUAUUUCUAACACCAUUAGAGGAGUUUUAUCAAGAAUCGUUCAUGAAUCUUUGUUGUAAUUCUUCAUUAAUCUCUAUCUUUUGUAUCUCUGUCAUGAGUAACUAAAUCCUUUUUGUUAGGGAUGAGUGAUACUAGAUGAAAUCCUUAUUUUUCUGAUUUGAUUUCUAGUUAUAUGAAUAAGUUUGUUGAAUUAUUCUUCUAUCUUUGUGCUUAAUGCAUUUUAUUGCUUGAUCAACUUUAAAAUGUUUUACGAUUCAUAUUUUGAAACAAAAGUUGACUUUACAAAUACUUGAGGUGAGAAAUUCAUGUUAUUGUAGUCUAGGGAUAGAUGAACGUCAUGAAACCAAUUGAAUUAGUUGUAGAGGCAAUAUUUUAAUAGAAAAAAAUUGUUGUACUGUAAAACUUAAUUCUAAUCUUAAAUUCACUAAGGAAUUAGGGGUUACUUUGGAAUUAAAGGUUCUGUCACUAAGACAUUAGGGCAAGAAUAAUAAAGNNNNNNNNNNNNNNNNNNNNNNNNNNNNNNNNNNNNNNNNNNNNNNNNNNNNNNNNNNNNNNNNNNNNNNNNNNNNNNNNNNNNNNNNNNNNNNNNNNNNNNNNNNNNNNNNNNNNNNNNNNNNNNNNNNNNNNNNNNNNNNNNNNNNNNNNNNNNNNNNNNNNNNNNNNNNNNNNNNNNNNNNNNNNNNNNNNNNNNNNNNNNNNNNNNAAUAAAGAGAACUCGAUAAUAAUCCAAUAAAGGAAUUUAGUAACUAGGAUCAAAUUAGAAACCAAGGUUGAAUUCGAAAUGAAACUCAUCCCUUGCAUUUUUCUUAUUAUAAAAGUUCAAUUACUCUUGUUAUUUUCAAAUAUAAUUUCAAUCAAUUCGAAAACUUUUUGUUCAAUUUUAGCAAUUAAACAUAAUUUGAUAGUAAAUCGCAAUCCUUGAAUUUGAUACUCGAUACUAUCAUUUUAUUAUUACGUGCAAUGAUUCAAUAUACUUGCAAAAAUGCUAUCAAAUGUUUGGCGUCGUUAUCGGAGGUUUCCAUAUCACUAUUGAGUUAUAAUUUUUUUACUUAAUUGAUAUUUUUUGCUUUGCAAUAAAUUGUUUGUCUUUAUAUAAUUUUUUUUAUUUAGUUUAAAACUUUUCAUUACUAACGAUUUUGAUAAUCUUGUGUGCGCGACCAGCCCUCAGCUAAACUUCUUUUCGAUUGAGAAAUCGAAAAAAUUGCGUAAGUAAAUCAAAAAUCGACUCGAGAAAAGAUACAAAGGGAAAGACAAUUAGUAGUGGAAGAAGAAGAUCUAGGGGAUUUCUUCAUAUUUGUAGAGAUGGUUGAUCCACCACCACCUGAACGUACCCUCGACGAGUAUGGAAAUCAAGAUAGAAACUAUGCUUGGUUGGCCAUCCAUAACCAACUAGUUACAAUCAACAAGUUUGAAAUAAGUCAAGCUCUGUAUCGAGAGUUGAAGGAGAUUCAUCUUUCCGGUAAAUAUAACGAAGAUGCAAAUAGACAUCUCACAAACUUCUUUGAACUAUGUGAAACAUUGAAGGUGGACGGUAACACUGAAGAAGGAAACAAGUUGAGACUACUUCUAUUGUCAUUGAAAGGUGAUGCUAGGGAGUGGCUUAAUUCUUUACCCUCUGAUAGCAUCACCACAUGAGAUGACUUUGAAGAUAAGUUCUUGGAACAAUACUUCCCUCCAAUUGUGUUCGUUAGAAAUUAAAAAUGCAAUAGAUUUCCCGUUACAAAAGGAGAAUAUCUUCGUGACACUUACAAGAAGUUCAAGAGUUUACUAGUAGGAUGCCCUAAUCAUGUUUAUGAUAAUACUGCUCAAAUGAAAAUAUUAUGUAAUGGUUUUAGACCUAACACUCAAAUUAUGUUGGGUGCUACAGCAAACAGUACUUUGAAUUACAAAACCGCAUCAGAAGCACGAAAAAUUAUCGUGAUCAUUACAUCAAAUGAACAAAUGAUGUUGUAUGAGAGAGGUGGUGGAUCAAAAAGUGAUAUGUUGGAGUUUAAUGUUAUGGAUGUUCGAUUGGCUCAAGGGAAGCUUCUACCAAAAUAGAUAGAAGAUGUUAUCGCCGCAGAGAUAAAGAAGGGUAUGGCACCUCUAAAUAUACAACCCCGAGUGUGUCUCAUCAAAUUUUUGAAACAUACAAGUUGCGACUUUUGUAGGGGAACACAUACAAAUGGAGCUUGUGAAGUACCAAAUAAUUAUGAUACAAAAAAACCAAAAGAAGUGAACUUCUUUGUUGUGUGAUUAUCCAUUUAUGUGUUAUCCCUUCAAAACUUGCACUAAUUCUGAUUUGCGUUACUUGUGGUUUAUGCAUACACUAUGCCAACUUUGUUUGCUUGUUUGAGUAUUUCUAACUAACAUAUGCAAAAUUUAUCCUUUUCUAUCCUUUUGAGUCUUGCUAUUUUCUUUUGAUUACUAGCCACAUUAGAAGCCAAAGACCUGACUUUGAUUAAAUCACCUUACUUGGAGUUAGGUAGGAAAUUUUUUAUCUCGUCUUGGUAAAGUUCUAAGUUUGGGGUGGUGGUUUUUAAAAAUAAAAUAAAAAAUUAAAACAAAAAAAAAAAAGAAAAAAAAAUCAGUUUGUGUACUUUGAUAAAUAACAUGUUCUUGGUCCUUUUGUCAAUGAUUGAGAAUCUCCACAAUGAAAAUAUAAAGAAGAAAAAAAAGAGGUAGAAUAAUAUGAAAAUGUAUACCUAACUACAAGUAGUAAAAACCUACUAUUCCAAAAAUAUAUCACCCUUACCUAAGCCUCACUACAACCUGAAAGUCUUCCGCAAUGUAUGUGUUUGUUGCAUUGUGAUUGCUAACUAGAACUUUUUUCAAGCAUAUGAUAGUGUAAUUCAUGUUCUAGGAUUUGAGUGAAAAACGCAUAACCCUUUCUAAAUACUUGAGAUAAAUUUUGGUAAGAUUAUGUGAAGAGAUAGUUGAACUUGAUGAAUGAAUGCUAAAUGUACAAAUGGUGUUGUUUUGUAAGCAACCACGAAGCAUGAUGAAUGUUUUGUAGUAGCGUGAACUUUGAGAAUUGAGUUUAAUUUGAUUUGAUAAAUUGAGUAUAAACUUUCUAUUAACAUACCAAAUAUGAAAUUAAUUGUUGUUUGGGGACAAAAAAAGACUAAAUUUGGGGUUGUGAUAACUCUUCAUCAUAUGCAUAUUUUUCUCACUUUCUAUGGAUCUUUUUGGCUAUUGGGAAAUUUGGAGACUUGAGCCCUAUUAGAUAAACUCAUAGACGAGUGUUUCUAAUACCAUUGGAGGAGUUUUAUGAAGAAUCAUUCAUGAAUUUUCUUGUAAUUCUUUUUUAAUUUCUAUCUUUUGUAUAUCUGUAAUGAGUAACUAAACCCUAUUUGUUCGGGAUGAAUGAAACAAGAUGAAACCGUUAUUUGUCUGAUUUGAUUUCUAGUUAUAUGAAUAAGUUUAUUGAAUUAUUUUUCUCAUCUUUGUGUUUAAUGCUUUUUAUUGCUUAAUUGACUUUAAAAUAUUUUAUGAUCCGUAUUUUGAAACGGAAGUGGCCUUUACGAAUGUUUGAGAUGAGAAAUUCAUGAUAUUGUAGUCUAGGGAUAGAUGUUGGUCAUGAACCAAUUGAAUUAAUUACAUAGACAAUAGUUUUACUAUAAAGCUUAAUUUUAAUCUUAAAUUCACAAAGGAAUUACAGGUUACUUUGAAAUUUAAGGUUCUUUCACUAAGACAUUAUGGCAAGAAUAAUAAAGAUAAUUUGGUAAUAAUUCAAUAAAGGAAUUUAGUAACUAGGAUCAAAUUAGAAUCCAAUGUUGGAUUCGAAGUAAAACUCAUUCCUGACAUUUUUCUUAUUAUAAAAGUUCAAUUCUAUUACUCUUGUUAAUUUCAAAUAUAAUUUAAAUCAAUUCAGAAACUUUUUGUUUAAUUUUUGCAAUUAAACAUAAUUCGAUAGUAAAACGCAAUCCUUGAGUUCGACACUCGGUACUACCGUUUUAUUAUUACUUGCAAUGAUUCAGUACACUUGCUGAAACACUAUUAGUGACAUACUAUAAUAUUGAUAUCAUCUGCUCUAAUUGGCUCCAUAUCAAGAUACGCAUAAUCAAUUACAUUGAUAUUUUUUGACAAGCUUUAAUAAUGGAUCAAUCUCUAAAGAUUCGAUAUGAAACUUCAUGAUACAUGAUGAUUUCUUACAAUCAGGACAACGACAGAAACCCUAAUCUAUGUUUCAGCAUAUAGAACAAUACAGAAAAACAUACUAUAAUAAGUACAAUACAAUUGCCUCUAGACUCUUGCCCUUAAUCUUUUGUUUUGUCUAAGUGUUGAGAAAUAGUUUGAGAACACAACUUUUUAAACACCCUUUUGUAAGAGUGAUUCUGAAACCCUUAAACCUCUGGAGAAAGUAGGAGGAUAAACACUCCAAGACAUCCUCUCAGAUAUAAAACACAUUCUCUCUCUCAAGACCAAAACUCUAGAAACACCAUCAACUACCAACUCUACCAUUCCAAAAACAUUUACCCUCUCCACACUUGUCUCUAACCCUACCUCAUCCACACUUGUGAAUCCAUUUAACCAAGUAGCUCAAAUGAUCAUUGACUUAGUCUUUGAUACAUCUUUAAAAGACUCAUCUGCUCAUCCAUCACCUCAUUUUCAUUUUGAACCUGCCACCUACACCACCCCUUUAGACCUCAUUCACCCUCAUACAUUCCAUUUCAUAUGACUUUCCAAACCUCAAAUCUUUCAUUACUUCAAUUAUUGUCAAAAUCACUUUAGCACACAAUAGUUUUUCACUACUUGGGUAAGGGCCAACAUGGAUCAUGGAAUGAAAAUUGCCUCCUAGAAUUCUGCUGCUUUUAGGCAAACAAUUGCCUCCAGAAAACUUAAAGCAAUCAUCUAGAAAGCUACUAACAACAACGAUAGAAGGCUCAUCAAGGCCAUAACCAUCUUCCUCUAGUGGUAUUCAUAUGGAACCCCCAAUAGUUGCUCCCUUAGCAACAUUGCAGUUUCAUGUAAAUUUGUCACACCUUUUAACCUGUGUUUGUUCUUUCCUAGUUUGUCUAGAAUGAAGACUUUGAUCAACUUAAAUCUAAGACAGAGGCAUUCACGGAACAAACAACCAAGAAUUUGGAGAAUAUUCAAAAUACCUUAAAUUCAAUCUUAGUUAGGAUGACCAACCCAAACAUGUAGUUCCCUGAAUUUUUGUAUCUUUGUUUGCGUGUAAUUAUUUUCCUCUGUUGUAUUUUCUUUUGCUUUUAUACUUGUUGGCUAAUCUACUCUUUUUGUCUAAAGACAAAUGUAGGAGAAUAUCUUGAACACUUUUAAUGAAAAUCUUAAGUAUUUUUUUAAUUUCAAUUAAUAAUGCUUAUCAUCUAUCUUGUCAGAAUAUAUUUCAUCCUCUUACAUUUAAACAUGAAUAUAUUAAGGAGGAGCCUUGUUGUGAUAUUAUAUGUUAUUAUUUUUUUUACUCCUUUAAAAUUUUAAAAUUGUUCACAAAAAUAAACAUUGUCAUCGUCAAACAAUGGGAGAUUGUUAGAACAAAGUUGGUUUGAAGAACUUUCACCCUCACUUGUUUUAAGUGUGCAGAUCCCAGACUAGGGAUUUUAUAUGACUUUGCAGUGCAUCCUCUAAUGUUUGAUCCAAGUUAAAGGAACACCAAGACUUUGCUCUGAUUUAUGUAUUUUAAGCCUUGUGAAUACGCUCUGAAACGUGCCUUUGGUGACUCUACCUAAUACAAACAAUGCUCUAAUUGGAUUGCUUAUAAUGCAAACAACCAGCAUAUGUUUACUUCUGCCUCUUAUGAUUUUGUCUAGCAUGAGAUUGUUUGCCUCCAUUGAACACGUCAACGCUUCGAUAAAAAAUCAACACUCAAGAUAGCCAAUGUUCUUAUGAAAGUAAUCGCUUUGAAAUGAUAAGCUCUGAAAAAGUCAUCGCUAAAAAAAAAAUCAACGCUCUUAAGAAAAUAAAUUUGUGCAUACUUUGUUCAACACCCUGAAUCUGUCAUUUGUCUAAAGGUCUAUGUGAUAUACAUUGAUCAUGAUAACCUCUUCUCUUUAUGUCGCCCUAUCAAGAUACGCAGAAUCAAUUACAUGCUUAUUUUUGGACAAGUUUUAAUGGUAGAUCAAUCUCUAUAGAUUUUGAUUAGAAACUUCAUGAUAUAUAUAUAUAUAUAUAUAUUGAUUUCUUGCAAAUAGGAGAAAGGCUAGAAAGCAUAAAUUUCUCUAUAAAAAGAUGUGCAACCCUCACUUAAGCAUUUACAACAUUACACAAUAAAAUAUAGCCGUCUAUGCACUAUUGUUCUUAAUUUUUUGCUUCGUCUAAGUGUAGAGAAACAGUUUCUAAGUAUACAACUUUGUAAACACCCCCUUGUGAGAGUGAUUCGAAAACCCUAAAACCUUUCAUUUUUUGUAACCUAGCCUAGUAGUGGUUGCAAUCCUCAACGUCUUGACUGUACUAAGCUAGAAGGUUGAGAAUACUUGAAUAUAGUCAGUUUGACUAGUAGGUGUUUAGUGGAAGUGUGAUUCAAUUGGUUAAUUUAGGUUUAAGGGACUAUAUGUAGCUACCAUGUUGGUGGUGAACCAUAAUAAAUUGGUUGUGUUGUUAUGUGUUUCUAUUUAUCUGUUCUGUUUUCAUCACUUUAUUUUAAUCUUGUUAAAAACUUUUUUAAUUUGAAACACAAUUCAAACCCCCCUUUUAUCUCUUGUUUCUCGUUCUACAACAUUAUCCUGUGGAUCAUGUUUUUUAACUAAUUGUUCAUCAUUUUCAAGGAUUUGAUGAAACAAUUUGAACUACUAGAUCAUUAGCACUUUGUGGAAUAGCAUGAAUGGGUGACCAAUAUCCACUUGAGCUUGAAAGAUAAUGUAAACAACAAUCAAUCUAUCAGUCAAAGUGGAACGUUGACACUUUAUAUGAUCAUGCACAAAAACCAAGUUCCUGAUUUAAUCACUCCCAUUAAUCAAGUGAUUUUCAAGAAAUAUUGCAUUUCUUGAUUAAAGAAUCCUAGUUGCAUGAGAUGGACCAUAAAAUUUAUAACCUUUAUACCUUUUGGCAUAUCCAAUGAAAUACCCACUAAUGGUCCUUGGUGUCCCCAAAAACUAGUUGCGCAAAAUUCUAGAAUUGUACGGGUUUGUCAAGUAGUACAAUAUAAGAUUAUCGUAUACGUAAAGAUUAAUUUAACAAGUACCAAACUAAUCAAAAUUUUAUAUUAUUUAGACUAAUGAAAAUUACUUUUGGUUCUUGAUAAUAAAAACGUAACAAUAACAUAAGAAUUAAAAUGAGAGUAUAUAACAACACAAUUUUGAAUUAAUGGAAAGUAAACCUAGUGUUAUGGUUUCACUUGUAAUAUCAAUAACUCAAAAUCUUGCUUUAUAUGAAUUCUUAUUUAUUUUCUCAAUUAUCAAUCCCUCUUUAAAACUAUUAACAAAGAUUCAUCAUUUGAUGUAAUAUUUUUCUCCUAAAUUAAUUCUUUGGUUGAUCAUACAAAAAAUAUAAUUAAGAGAAAGCAUUAAGAACCAAGACGUUGAGUGAUUGAAAGAUUGGUAUCUAUGUUUCAUCACACAAGAAUCAUAAUCUCAAUUAUCAUAUAGAUCUACCAACUAAUUGCAGUUGGUCACUGGUUAAUUGAUUGAUUAAGACAUGCAAAGGUCGGUCAUUCCAAAUAUGUAAAUAAAACAAUAGAAUAAUUUAAUGAGAUAAACAACAAAAAUAGAAAAUAAAACUAGAAUUAAAAGUAAGACAUAGUAAAAAGGUAUCUUAAUCACAAGAUUCACCAAAGUCUCUAGAAGAGAGCUUAGUUACUCAUUGACAUAUAGAAAAUAAAAUAAAUAUUAGAAUUGUUAAUCAGUUAAGGGAAAAGAAAUAAAACCCUAAAAGAGAAUAAAUUUUUGCUACAAAAUUUGAAACACUUUACUCCAACUUCAAGCACUCCCAAGUUUCCACUGUGUUCGUCCUUUUUUUUCCCUCUAAUUUUUUUUUUUAUAGAUGCAGCUCCUUUUUAUGAUAGCAAGAACAUCAUGUUUUUAUGCAACAAUCAUCCCCCUUCUUUGGCAACUUUUCUUAUCAUAAAAUCCAUCUCCUUGAAGUGUGCAACAAACCUUCUUCUUGUACUCAUAAGUUAGAGUAUUAAACUUGAUAUUUUUGCACUAAAAACUUAGUAGAUUUGACCGAUUUGAAUUAUUUUAUCAUCUUAUGAUCAAUUAUGAAAAUACAAUAAAUAAAUAAAUAAGAAUAAGUUGAAAUAAUAUUUGAGUUGUCAAAUUUAUUUGUUUUCAAAUAAGCUUGAAAUCAAAAUAAAUUACGAAACUAAAGAUAUUUUUUUCUCCAAACUCUCCAAUGAUAAGCAAUUUAUCAUGGAAACUCAUGUAUUCUUUAUAUGAGAUAAAUCUCAUAGGAACUAGUGGGAGAAUUAUAGAACUUGGAAAAAUCCAAGCACCACAAGACUAAUGGUAAUGGAACAUCGGUAAAUUUCACAAGUGUUAUGGACAUGUCACUUAAUUUUAUUAAACAAUAUCUAGAUAGGUACAACAAGCUAUGUCGUCACAAAAUAUGUGAAGGACUUCAUGUGAACCAGCAAGGUUGAACCUUGAUGGAGUUGCCCUGAUGGAUAUAGGAUGCAAAUGGGUAUUUAAUUGAAGACUAGAAUGGAUGGUAUGUUUAACACAUUUAAGUCAUGUGUGCUACGAAAUGUUUCAUCCACAUCUAUGAUAUAGACUAUGAUGAGACUUUCUCUUAGUUAAGAUGCUUAAAUCCUUCAUAGAUUCUCUUGUGAUCUUGUGUACAUAUAGAGGUUAGCGGGAGCAUUAUUGAUUUUGGUCUUAUAUGUGAAAUAUGUAGGUAUCGUAAAAAUAAUAGCAUCCCUACAAAGCGUAGAAGCAUAGUUGAAAAAUAUUUCUUGAUAAAGGACUUGCGCAACAUUUUCCAAGUGUUAGGAUUCAUGAUCUAUAGUAUAAAGUUAUUUGAUCUUGUUUAACGUACAUAUGAUAAAAUCAUAAUGAUUUGUCUAGGAGACAAUUUUCUAUCUCAUCACAUUAGAAAGAAAACAUGAGAUAGAAAAUUAGGCAUUUGGACGAAGUUUGUAAUGGUAGAAGCUAUGUCAAGUUCAAAAGAACUUCCACAUCCAAACACCCAUCUAAUUACAUUAGAAAGUAGAUAUACUCAGUUUUAUAAGAAAUAAAUUUUCUAUCUCAUCACUUUGUAGUAAUUAGACCACAUAUAUCAUAUGCUAUGAGCAUAACGAAAGGUAUCAGUUUCAUUUUAGUGACAAUAACUAAAUUGUAAUCAAGAAUAUCCUUUAGUAUCAAACUGACUAAGGACAUAUUCUUGAUAGAUGGUAAUGAAUAGGUCAUUGGAAGGUAUUACAUUGUCAUUACUUCCAAACCGAUAAAAGUAAUUUAAGAUCACUGUUUGGAUUAUACUAUGUAUAUAUUGUGGUACUUUGAGAUGGAAGAGUUCCAAGUGAAGGAUAACUUUUCUCUUGCAAAACUGAGUUAUCUACUUCUAAUGUAAUUAGAUGGGUGAUGGGAUGAGGAUGUUCUUUUGAACGACAUAGUUUCUACCAUUACAAACUUCAUUGAUUUCAUUGGUAUAAUGAUAAAUUAAUUGUAUAAGGCAAAGAAUCUUGAUCUCAUCAAUGAUCCAAACAUAUACUUAGUUGCAACUAUCUCAUUCAAUAGAUGAUCGAAAAGAGAGAUGUGAACAUGUGAAGAAUGACUACACAAUCUAUUUUCAAAGGGUGUUAUGUUGAUACUUGAUUGGCUCUAGUGCUAGUGGGAGAUUGUUGGUGUAAGCCCUAGCACCAAUCUAUUUUAUAUAGAUUAUCAUUUGUAUCAUGGAUUUAAAUCAUAUAUCUAAUUUUGGUUAUAUGUGCAAGGCAUCAUUUAUUAUGUUAUCAAUAAUAUAAUAUAGCAAAGUCCUUAUAAUAGAUAGUUCGUUUAAUAGAACAUCAAGUGUGACUUGAUCAUGAGACCCUUUAGAACAUUAGAAAACUAUUAAGUAACCAUAGUCAAAGUACUAUUGUUAAUUAGGACAACAAUAAUACAUUGAGACUAUUAUGCGCGUAGACUCAUGAUCACAUCUCAUAGGUCAUGAAUAUGAGAUAUCAAGUCGUCACAUAGGUAUAAAUAGUAGGUGUAAUAUUUAUAUUGUAAUGACCUGUCAUGAGAAAUGCUACAUAAUUGUUGUGUAAGUGUCAUUAACGAUUCUCAAAUGAUCAUUGCAAGUAGUCAUUUGACUUGAAGUCGAGACAUUCUUGAUAUGGGGAGUUGUAGGAUUUAAGCCCAUCAAAUGUUGUUUGUAACAAGACAAUCAUAAAAGUUGUUACUAUGAAUGCAAUAAGCCAUGUGGAGGGUGUAAGUGUUGUAUACAGGAUUCGUCCCUCCUACAUAACAGAAGUUAUGACUUAGGUCACUCGAUAGAGUGAGACAACGGAAAUGCAUGGUCAUGCUAAAAUAAAUCAGUAUGUGAUAUUGGAUCCAUGGAUUUUACGCAUCUAUUUUGGGAUUGAAAAAUUAAAAAUUCAAGUAUUGCUAAGAUUUAUGUUGUGACUUUCGUUCAAUUAGGCAUUUGGACGAAGCGACAAUUAUUGCACAGUAAAUAGUGGUCGCGGUAAGAUUUAAAUCGUACCACCGAUUUUCUGAUGAUUUGGGUAGCAAUGAUGGAUUGAUAUAUGUCAAUCAUCGUUUAUAAUAUUUUAUAUGAUACAAACUAUAUAUAAUAUUUAAUAUUAUUACCAUUUCAAUGAGAACCUAUAAAAGUCACACGCAUAGAGUACGUACAACACAACAAAUGAUUAAAUUAAAUAAGAUUUGAUUUAAUUAGAAGUUAAUUGUAUUUUAUAUGAUUUAAUACUUUAACAUGUUUAUAAUUUAUUUAAUUGAAUAAGAUUUGAUUAAAUAUAAUUUAAUUAAAUUAAUAAUUUGUAUUAAAUUAAAAGAGGUUAAUUAAAUCUAAUAGUUUAGAACUUAGUUCGGUUUGGGCCCAAAAUAAUAGUCUUAGGUUUUAGUGGUUCAUUCUUUAUAAAUAGAAGAAGAGCACACUCUAAGUAAUCUUAAUUGCCACUACCCUCCUAUUAUAGCCAGCACGUUCCGUUUUAUGACAUAAACUAUGUAGACACGCUGAUAAUUUUUGUAUUGUUGAUCAAAGUUAAAGAGCAUUUCAAAAUAGAUGUUCUGUGUUGGUGAUUUGUCUCAUUGAUGCUUCAAAAGAAAAUUACAUGAACCCUUCAAACAAAAUUUUGUAUUGAUCUUUAAAUAAAAGGAAUUUUUCACUAGUAAAAAUAAUUAUAAGAAGAAUCUUCAAAGUCUAUCGCAUAUUACCAACUGGAUGGUCAUCUUUGUUUCUUUUAUUUUCAAACAAACCGAUGGUAUCAUGAUCAUUAGAGUUGGCCAUUUUUGUGAUCGAGAAAGGGGAGAGGAUGAGAGUUAUGAACGUGAGAUACACAAACAUAAAUUGUUGAUGAUAAACUGUGUAUCUAUGCUCUUCUAUCGAAUUAGAGACAUUGAACUUAGCACUAACAUUACCCAAAUUGUGCACACAAGACACCUUAAAAAACCAAUACACACGGGACAUAUUGUAAAUAUACAAAAAAUUUAAAAAUAUAAUAAUAUUAUUAGCAGGUUCAGGUACAAGGUAGAUAUUAACAUCUUAAAUUUAUCUUCAUCUCUUAAUUUUAAUUUUGAGAAAAAUCAACAUCUAAUUAAAAUAAGUUUUUUCUUCGCUCAAAUCGAGAUGCGUUGUGAGUUCCUGCGAGUGCAGGUGGCGUUGUGAUCGUUACUACAGUUGGGUUUUGAUGCAUUCACAUAGUCGGAUAUCGAUAACUAUUUUUGAUCAAAAUCGGACGACUCAAAUUAAAUAUCAAUAUUUUAAAAUAUAAAGUAAAAAUUAAAAUUUAUAAUUUUUAAAAUGUGUGAUCAAGUUCGGAUAAACGAUAAUGUCUUUUAAAUUUAUGAAUGCGUCAAACUAUUCACAACAAAGAAUCCAAUUUCGUUUGGAAAAGGAGAAAAAGAAAUAUGGACCUUUCUAAUGGUAGCUUGGUCCCGUUGACCCAACAACUGCAGUCUCAACUUCCAACCAUUGAAUUUGAAUGCCCCACAAUAUUACCCACUUGAGCCCUCCAUUGUCCUUGCAUGUCUAAUGGUAAAAUUGUGUGUUCACAAAGGUGGAUCAUGGAUUGGGUUUAGAAUAAGGAUAUAUUCUAAUUUGAACCAUUUUCAUAUGUGGGUCUACUAUGUAAUGAAUUUAAACGUUGAUUGAUGAUUAAUUGAAAAUUUAUUUUCACAACUAUUAUUGUCUUUAUUUCUUAUAGGGUGAUUUAAUUGAUGUCGAUUUAACGAGUUGAUGUUUGAAAGAUAUGUUCGUUUUCUCAUAUUUUUAUCUAGUUGACUUCAAUCAAGUUCAUGUCUCAGCCAAAAUAAUAAAAAGGACCGUUCGAAGAGUGUCAUCAAUCUUCGAUAAAGUUUCUGUAAUUUUUAAACAUUAAUCUACAGUAUAUCACGUUUAAAGACUAUCCACCAUAAAAUUUACAUUAGAUGUUAGUGUGCAUAUAUAUAUAUAUANNNNNNNNNNNNNNNNNNNNNNNNNNNNNNNNNNUAAUUACUUUUAAAAUUGAAAUUUAAAAACAAACAACAAAAAUAUUAAAACUAAAAUUUAUAUUUGUUCAACUAACAUAUAUAUUAUAAAAGUGGAUCAAACAAAUUAAAUUAAAAUGUACAGUAAACAAUAAAAUAUAAUAAAAAAUAUGUAGCAUGGCAUACAGACCUUUGUGUUCAUUUGUUUUUCUAAUAAUACUAAUAAUAACAAUAACAAUAACAAUAACAAUAACAAUAACAAUAACAAUAACAAUAACAAUAAUAAUAAUAAUAAUUAUUAUUAUUAUUAUUACUUGAUAAAGAGGUGGUAGUAACACAAUCUCCUAGUUUUGAAGUGAAGAUUGGUUUCACCAAAUGUUUCUCUAAGCAUGGGGAUUAUGUGAGAAAUUAAGGAGCCGAAUAAAGAAUAUUGUUAUGAAUUUAUACAUUGGAGCGGAACUUAGUUAUGAUAUGAGGAGACCACGGUCACCUACAAUAAUAUUUAUCUAUAAUAUAUAGUAUAUGUAACCAAUGUCUCAUUAAUAAUAUCAAAUUGUUGAGUGACUUAGUGGUAAUGGAGAUUUUUAUAAAUCUUAUGUUCUGAGUAUUUUUAAUACAUCUAAAAAUUAAAAUUACCACUAUAUAUAUCAAAUCAAAUUUAUGAGAUUAAUUAAAAUAUAAUUUAUAUAUAAUCUAUUUUAUAUUGACCUUCCAAUUAAACUUGUCAAGAUUCGCCACUGUUUAAAAGAAACAUUAUCAUUUGCUAGCAACAAAGAGAAUUCUAAGUAUAUUGUAGGAGUGAAGAUCAAGUAAAAGACAUAGUAAAAAAAUGUGAAGAUUGAAGUGUUAAGAAAUUAAGAGAUAUAAUGGGUGUUGAGUCCUUUUCUAAUAUGAAUUAAGAUGGUUUGUUGUAAAAGUUAGUUAAUUGAGUUAGACAAAAGUUGGAUAGUAGUUAAAAGUUGUUAGUUUUAGUUUAUUAUAUUUUAGUAAUAGUUAAGUGGCUAUGAAUGUAAAAUAGUAUAAUGUGAAAGUGUAUAAAUUAAUACUAAAGUAAUCAUAUAUCAGUUAAAUAGGACAAAAUGUAUAUUCGAUUCAAGAAUUUUCUCAUAAUAUUCUCUCUUCACAUUUAUCUUUUACUCAAGUGUAAGUUGCGGGUGAAAUAACAAGUGAAAAACAUUAUUCUAACCGUUCUCGAAACAUUAAUUCUUCUCAUUCACAAAAAAAAAAAAAAAAAAAAGUGAAGACUCAUUUUAUACUCCUCAGAUAAAUCAUGAGACCCAAUUUAGUCUCUCGAAAAAAUAAAUAAAGAUAACUUUAAGCUCAUUAAAAAAUUAAAUCAGAACAACUUAGUUUCUAAUUUCUUUAAACUAUGUAUGGUUGAUGAUGGAAAGAAAAGAAAGCGAAUAGAAAACAAAAUAUAUAGAAAAUAAGUUGAUUAAUUAGUAGUUUGAUAUAAUAUAAAAUGCAAAGAAAUUAUAACAGAAAGAAAUUAGAUAUGAUAAAAAUAAUACAAAUAAUAUUUCAUUACAAUCAAUAAAAAUUUAUAAAAUAUAUAAAGAAAUAUAAAGAGAAUAAAUAUAUACAAAAAUCAGUGUUUUAAAAAAUCUCUAAUAACUAAUCUUAUUGAACACCAAAUUUUAUUUUUAUAAUUUGUAAUAAACGUGCCUUUAAAAUAUUUUAAUGGAAUUAAAAUUAUAAAAGAAAUGCAAGAAACUGUAGUUUCCAUUCAAUAAUAAAAAAAACAAUAAGGGUUCUUGGAUUAACUACCUAGCUAGGAUAAUAUUUAGGUUUUUUAAUGUUAAUUCAAUUAAAAUGUGUUAAGAUGGUGUAUAAAAAUGUCAAUUUUUAUGGAUGAUAGUGUAAAAAAUUUUACACAGUCAAUAUAUAUAAAUUAAACUUUAAGAGAAAAUAAAAAAAAAUAUUUAUAAAAUAACAUAAAUAUUUGUUUAAGUAAAAAUUAGAUACGAUUAAAAGAAAAAAUUAUAAAAUAUAAAGAGAAUUAUAAUCUUUUUAUGCUUUUUAUCAUAUCUAAUUUUUUUCUUAAGCACGUUUAUAUCAUUUUAUAAAUACACAUUUUUUUUAAUCAUAAUUUUUUUAUUUUCUUUUAUAGUAAACUAUUAAAUAAUCAACUCAUUUUCUCUAUUUUUCACUUUCUAUUAUUUUCUGACUCUCCUUAUUCAUAAACCAAAUAAAUUAUAAAGAAAAUAUAAAUUAAGUUGUUCCGUUUUAACAUUCUUAAAGAUUAAAAAUUACCUUUAUUUUUUUCAUGGUUUUAAUUGAAUUUCAUGAUUUUUCGCAUUUAAUUGACAAAUAAUAAUAGUAAUAACAAAGCAUAUCUAGAGAAAGAGAAUAAAAGAAUCAUAAAUUAAAAAAGAGAAAUUAAAAUUUAUUAAUAAUUAAAUUUAAUUAUGAAUUUUUCUAUAUCAUCAUAGAAUCAUAUAGCCAGCUUAUUUUUGAUUUGCAUUCCUUUCCAAACAUGGAGAAAUACUCUUGUUAUUGUUAGAGAUAUUAUUAGACAAUAUAAUAUUGGAGGAAGAAUAUUGUGUUAAGUAAUUUUUUAUUUUUAUGGAUGCUGUGAAAUGACAAUGAUUUUCUUUAUGCUAGUUUUAUACACAAUAUUUUUUGUCUUGAUAAGGAAAUAAUGGUUGGUGCCAGCCUCAAGCCUCAACAUUGGCAUUGGAAUAUAAAAAUCAUUUCAAUGUACACCAAGUUGGGUUGUGCAUUUUUGUUUUGAUUUAUAAAUUAUAAUCUAAUGGACUUCUUAGCUAGAUCUUGUGCAAAAUUACGUCAUAUCAAACGAAAAUUAAUAUGCAAACUUUUUCUUUUUUUGACAAAAAUUAAUAUUCAAACUUGUGAUAACGAAAAAAAAAGGAAUAGUCUAUUAAAAAGCUAUGAGAACUACUUAAUAGCGAUCCGGUCUAAUGGAAGAGUUAGAUUUCUAAAAUGUAGUAAAUUAAAGUUUGAGUUCAACGACAGAUUUUAAAUUUCCUUUGAUAGGAACAUUAAAAUUGUAUAUAUUUUGAUUAAAGAAAAAUAUUAUUAAUUCUUAUAAAAUAUAUAAUUAGAAUGGAUAGAUAAAUUCAAAAUACAUUAGAAUUUUUAUAAAUUAUAAUUGCUCUCCACGAUAUUUAGUAUUCACAAAAUAUUUAAUGUUUUUUUUUUUUUUAUUGUUAACACUAUCAAAUAUGUCAUACUAACAAAUCAUGCAACCAUUCAUUCUCAUACAAUUGAUGAUUUCAUCCUUCAUUAAAUUAAUGACAUAGAAAUAUCUGUCAAUGCGUCAGAGUGAGUAAGUGAUGAGUGAGUCCUAGUGGGCCUAAAACUAUAAUAUUAGUAAAAAAAAAAUUUGUUAGGGCAAGAGCCGCCAUUAGACACGUAGUUGAUUCGCCGGUGUUUGAAUCUUAGUUGAAAGAUGUAUUCAUAUUUAAUAUGUAAAUGUAUCCACACGUCUCAAAUAAGAUUAUCUAUAAUGAAGUAACUUAUAUAGAACUAAACAAACUAUGAAAGUAAACAAGGCAUAUAUGCAUAAUUAUUUUUUUUAAAAAAAGGCAUGCUUAAUGCAUUUAAGCAUUGUUUUAUCAUUUUUUUUAUUGAAUAUACAUCUAAUUUCAUAAUAAUAAACAACGGCUUUUAUAAAUAAAAUAUAAAGUUUUUCCUAAUAAAUAUUUGAUGAAAUAUUUAGGAAAUUAAAUUGGUAUCAGUCGAUGGAGGAAGAAACAAACAUCUACAUCUUAAUAUGAUUGACACUUAGUGGACUGUGGAAAUAGUCUGGGGGUCACAACCUCCAUAUGUUCAAGUGAGCUCAUUUGUGAAAAAACCAAGGUAAAGAUAAGCUUGAUAAAAAAAAUAAAAUAGUGAAAGAAAGAUAAAGAAACAUAGGUACUUCUAAGAAUAUAGUUAGCUUUUGAGAAGACUAGCAAACCAUGAAGGAAGAGUAGUGCAUUAAAAAUAGAGAAGGUAAGAUUUGGAAUUGAGUACGAAGAAGAAUGGGGAGCGUCAUUUUUAAUGAGAAAAAAUGUGUCGCACAUUGGGAAAUGUGCAUUUUAGAUAUGAUUGAAUUGACUAAAGUAAGGUACAAUUGAUAUGACGAGACAAUUGGUAUGACAAGACUAGAUGUCAUAUCAUUUUAGAUGUUCCCGAGAUAAAAGGAUGUACAAUUGAUAUUACGAGACACUUGGUAUGAAAAACUAUAGAUUAUAUCAUUUUAGAUGUGACUGAUGACUCUUCAUCAUAUUCAUAUUUUUCAUUGUUUUUAUUUUUAUUUAUCUUUAAUUAUUAGUUGAUUUAAGGAGUUAUUUGAUAUAUUUUGUUGAUUUUAGUUCUUUGAGUUAAUAAAUUGUUUGUGGUUUUAUUCCAUUGAUUAAGUAGGGAUUUUUUUUUUAGUUUUACGUUGCUUUUUGUUUUAGUGAACUGCUGAAUUUUUGCGAGAAAUCAACAUGACAUAUGUGUAGUAUUUCAAUCAUAUAAGGAGUUGUAUAUGUCCAAUUGGAGUCAAACCAAGUGCAAAUGAAAUCUAAGAUCCAUAGCUACAAUUUUCAUGAAGACAUCGGAACCCUAUUAAGAAUCAAAAAAAGAGACAAAUGCAGAAAACGUCAAACAGAAGAAGUUGUGCGCCUGAAGCGCAAUAGCCGCGCAUGGGACGCAUUUCCAUGCUGAAGACUAUGUCAAUUCACGCUUGAAGCGCAACACCUGCAUUUGGGACGCAUGGCACACAACGACAUACAUUAAAAUGCAUUUUUUUUCACUUUCUAGGUAUCUUUUUUUACUAUUGGGAAGUUUGGAGACUUGUGUCCUAGCAUAUAAACUCAAAGACGGUCGUUUCUAAUACCAUUGGAGCAGUUUUAUCAAGAAUAACUCAUGAAUAUUUCUUAUAAUUCUUUUCUAAUAUCUGUCUUUUCUAUCUCUAUCAUGAGUAACUAAACCAUAUUUGUUAGGGAUGAGUGUAACAAGAUGAAACCCUUAUUUUUAUGAUUUGAUUUCUAGUUAUAUGAAUGAGUUUAUUGAAUUAUUUUUCUCAUCUCUGUGCUUAAUGCUUUUUAUUACUUGAUCAAGAUUAAAAUGUUCAAUGAUUCGUGUUUUGAAACGGAAGUGGACUUUAGAAUGUUUGAGAUGAGAAAUUCAUGAUAUUGUAGUCUAGGUAUAAAUGCAUGUCAUGAAACCAAUUAAAUUAGUUGCAAAGGCAAUUGUUUAACAAGAGAAUUCCUAUACAGUAAGACUUAAUUAUAAUCUUAAAUCCACUAAGGAAUUAGGGGUUUCUUUGGAAUUAAAGGUUAUGUCACUAAAACAUUAGGGUAAGAAUAAUAAAGAGAUUUUGGUAAUAAUUCAAUAACGAAAUUCAGUAACUAGGAUCAAAUUAGCCACCAUUCUUAGAAACAGGGAGAUCUAUGAGGAAGAAAAUGAUAUCCCCUUGAUCUUGGGGAUAUCAUUCUUAGAAACAGGGAGAUCUAUGAUUGAUGUGGUAGAUGCCACCUUAACCUUUAAGGUAAAUGAGGGAACUGUUACAUUCAACAUUCUAAAAGCCAUAGAGCAUUCAAUCGAAAGAGAAUGGUGCUACCUAAUUGAGAUUUUCAAUUUGAUAGUCGAUGAAGAAGUUGAACAUCAAGGACUCAUUCUGCCGUUAGAAAGAGUGGUAUGUCUACCGCAAGAUGUUGUUAAAGAUAGUGAAGAUCCAAGAGUAAAAUAUGUUUUAUUCAUGUUAGAAGCAUCACCAUCCCACUCUCCCCGCUUCCAUACUACACGGGAAGAGUUGAAAGGGAAUGAAAGAGAAAAUUAAAGAGACGCUCCUAGUUGAACUCAAACAAUUGCCACCUCACUUGAAAUAUGUAUCCUUUGGUGAGAAAGAUUGUGUGUUCUUUAUGUCAUAUAAUACACCUUCACAAUGGUUGAGGCUUCAAACAAAUGACUUUAAAGAAGCGCUUCGUGGGAGGCAACCUAUAGGUAGAGGUAACUUUUAUUAUUACAAUCUUCUUUUUUUAUUAUUAUUUGAAUUUGUUUCUUUUUAAUUGUGUGUAAACGUGCACUAUAAUAAAUAAUUUUUAACAACUUGAAGCUAGUCUUAAACUAUUUGUUUCAUAUUUUGAAUUUAAACUCUAUUUCUUUGCUCAUAUCAUUGCUCAAUUCGAUAAGUUUCACUAAUGCAUGCAUUGUUGAUUACUCCUUGGUUGUCGAAGUCUCACUUGCCAUUUUUUUUAUAAAAAAAAAAAAACUAAAUAUAUUUUUUAGUGGCAUGUUUGGCAUCACUUAGAUAGUUCAUAUUCUCUCUUAUUAUCCUAGUUGUGAGCUUUUGGGUCUAAACUCUUUAAUUAUUUGUUGUAUGAUUUUUCAGACAUGUAUUAUCCCUUCAGAACUUGCACUAUUCUGACUUGCAUCACUUGUAAUUUAUGCAUACACUAAGACAAAUUUGUUUGGUUGUUUGAGCCUUUAUAACUACCCCAUGCAAAUUUUAUCAUUCGGUAGCCCCUUUGAGCCUGAGGCGCAUUUCCAUGCUGAAGACUUUGUCCAUUCACGCUGGAAGCGCAAGAGUUGCAUCUGGGGCGCGUGGCACACAACAACAUAAAUUAAAAUGCAUUUUUUUUUUCACUUUCUAGGUAUCUUUUUUUACUAUUGGGAAGUUUGGAGACUUGUGUCCUAGCAUGUAAACUCAAAGACGACAAUUUCUAAUACCAUUGGAGCAGUUUUAUCAAGAAUAACUCAUGAAUAUUUCUUGUAAUUAUUUUCUAAUCUCUGUCAUUUCUAUCUCUUUCAUGAGUAACUAAACCAUAUUUGUUAGGGAUGAGUGUAAAAAAAUGAAACCCUUAUUUUUCUGAUUUGAUUUCUAGUCAUAUGAAUGAGUUUAUUGAAUUAUUUUUCUCAUCUCUGUGGUUAAUGCUUUUUAUUAUUUGAUCAAGAUUAAAAUGUUCUACGAUUCAUAUUUUGAAACGGAAGUGGACUUUACGAAUGUUUGAGAUGAGAAAUCCAUGAUAUUGUAGUCUAGGGAUAGAUGCGGGUUAUGAAACCAAUUAAAUUAGUUGCAAAGACAAUAGUUUAACAAGAGAAUUCAUAUAUGGUAAGGCUUAAUUCUAAUCUUAAAUCCACUAAGGAAUUAGGGGUUACUUUGGAAUUAAAGGUUAUGUCAUUUAGACAUUAGCGCAAGAAUGAUAAAGAGAACUCGGUAAUAAUUCAAUAAAGAAAUUCAGUAACUAGGAUCAAAUUAGCCACCAAGAUUGGAUUCAAAGUGAAACUCAUCCUUGACAUUUUUCUUAUUAUAAAGGAUCAAUUUUAUUAUUGUUGUUAAUUUUAUAUAUUAUUUCAAUCAAUUUGAGAACUUUUUGUUCAAUUUUAGUAAUUAAAUAUAAUUCAAUAGUAAAACGCAAUCGUUGAGUUCAACACUCGGUACGACCGUUUUAAUUAUUACUUGCAACGAUUCAGUAUACUUACUGAAACACUAUCAAGUUUUUGGCGCCAUUGUCGGGGAUUGCUAUAUCACUAUUUAGUAAAAUUUAUUUACUUAAUUAAAAAAAUUUGCUCUGCAAUAAAAAUUUUGUUUUUGUUUUAAUUAUUUAUUUUUCUUUUAAAACUUUUUAUUACUCACAAUUUGUCUAACCUUGUACGUGAGGCCAAUCCUCAGUUGAACUUCUCUUUGAUCCAAAAAUCGAAAAAAUUGCAAAAGCAAAUCGAAAGGUGGUUCGAGAAAGGAGACAAAGGAAAAUACAAUUAGUAGUAGAAGAAGAGGAUUUGUGAGAUUUUUUUAUAUUUGUAGAUAUGGUUGAUCCACCACUGUUUGAACGUAUCAUCGGCGAGUAUGAGAAUCAAGAUAUAAACCGUGCUCGGUUGGCCAUCCAUAACCAACCGGUUACAGUCAACAAGUGCGUAAUAAGUCUCGUCUAUAUCGAGAGUUGAAGGAUAUUCAUUUUUUUGGAUAAACAUAACAAAGACUCCAAUAGACAUCUCACAAACUUCUUUGAAGUAUGUGAAACAUUGAAGGUGGAUGAUUGCUUUGAAGAAGGCAAGAUGUUAAGACUAUCUCCGUUUUUAUUGAAAGAUGAUGCUAAAGAGUGGCUUAAUUCUUUACCCUCCAGUAGCAUCACCACAUGGGAUGACCUUGAAGAUAAGUUCUUGGAACAAUACUUCCCCCCAACUAUGUUCGUUAGAAAAAGGAAAGAGGUUUCCGGUUACAAACAAAAAGAAGGAGAAUCUCGUCUUGACACUUACUGGAGGUUCAAGAGUUUACAAGCAGGAUGCCCCAAUCCUGCUUGUUACGAUACUGCUCAAAUGAAAAUAUUUUGGAAUGGUUUGAAGCCUAGCGCUAGAAUUACGUUGGAUGCUACAACAGGUGGUUCUUUGAAUUACAAAACCGCAUCAAAAGCACGAAAAAUUAUUGAGAUAAUGGCAUCAAAUGAACAAAUGAUGUUGUAUGAUAUAGGUGGUGGGUCAAAAAGUGUAUGCUGGAAUUGAAUGUUCCGGAUGUUGGGUUGGCUCAAGGGAAGUUGCUCUCAAAACAGAUAGAAGAUGUUAUCGCCAUUGAGAUAAAGAAUGGAAUGUCAGCUCUAAAUAUACAACCUCAAGUGGCCCUUGUCAAAUUAUUGAAACAUAUUGGUUGUGACUUUUGUUGGGGAGCAGAUAAAAAUGGAGCUUGUGAAGUACCGGAUGAUGAUGAUAUAGAAGAAUCAAAAUAGGUUAACUUUAUGGGUAACAAUGGGAAGCAGAAUAAUGCCUACUCUAGUACGUACAACCCGGGUUGGAGAAAUCAUCCAAGUUUUUCAUGGAAAGAUCAACAGGGUGGAUCUCAAGGUCAACAAGGAGCUUAAGCAAAUCAAGUCCCACCUCAAAAAGCGGCUUAGGAGAGUGCUAUUGAGAAUUAGUAACAAGCACACAUUCUUUUAUUUAGGAGUCAAGAGCCAUCCAGAAAAACCACUCAGCCUCAAUAACGAAUCUGGAGACCCAACUGGGUCAACUUGCUCAACAAGUAGCACAAAGAACGCUAAGAAAUAUGCCAAGUGACACAGUUCUGAAUCCACAAAAUAAUGUCAAUGUCGUGACAACAAGGAGUGACAAGGUAAAUGGUUGCCACCUAAGCUCAAAGAUCUUGGAAGCUUCUCUAUUCCUUACGCUAUUGGAGAUAGAACUUUUGGAAAAGCCAUGUGUGAUCUUGGGGCUAGUGUAAGUCUUAUGCCCUUUUCCAUAUACAAAAGGUUAGGCAUUGGAAGAGUAAAAAACACACAACUGAUGUUACAGUUUGUGGAUCAUUCAAUGAAACACCCAUAUGGGGAAGUGGAAGAUGUGUUGGUCAAAGUAGAUAAGUUCAUUUUUUUUUCCAGUGGAUUUUGUGGUACUAAACAUGAGGGAAGACAACGAUAUCCCAUUGAUCUUGGGGAGACCAUUCUUUGCAACACGGAGAGCUAUGAUUGAUGUGGUUGAUGGCACCUUAACCUUUAAGGUAAAUGAGGAAACAAUUACAUUCAAUAUUCUAAAAGCCAUAGAACAUUCAAACGAAAGAGAAAGGUGCAACUGAAUUGAGAUUUUCAAUUCGAUAGUCGAUGAAGAAGUUGAACAUCAAGGACCCAUUCUACCGUUAGAACGAGUGGUAUGUCUACCCCAAGAUGUUGUUAAAGAUAGUUAAGGUCCAAGAGUAAAAGAUGUUUUAUUCAUGUUAGAAGCAUCACCAUCCCACUCCACCCGCUUCCAUACUACAUGGAAAGAGUUGAAAGAGAAUGAAGAUGAAUAUAAAGAGAAAAAGAAAGAGACGCCACUGGUUGAACUCAAGUAAUUUCCAUCUCACUUGAAAUAUGUAUCCAUUGGUGAAAAAGAUUGUGUGUUCUUUUUGUCAUAUAAUACACAUUGACAAUGGUUGAGGCGUCUAGCUAAUAACUUUAAAGAAGCGCUUCUUGGGAGACAACCCAUAGGUAGAAGUAACUUUUAUUUUUGCAAUCUUUUUUUUUUUUUUUUUUUAAUUUGUUUCUUUUUAAUUGUGUGUAAACAUGCACUAUGAUGAAGAAUUUUUAACAACUUGAAGCUAGUCUUAAACUAUUUGUUUCAUAUUUUGAAAUUUAAACUCUAUUUCUUUGCUCAUAUCAUUGGUCAAUUCGAUAAGUUUCAUUAAUACAUGCAUUGUUGAUUACUCAUUGGUUGUCGAAGUCUCACUUGCCAUUUUUUUUUAAAAAAAAUUGUAAUUGGUCACAACACAUCGCCGACAAGGCUCAUUGGAACAAAUACUUGUAGAACGAGAAAACAAGAAAGAAAGGGUUGAAUUGUGUUUCUUGUUUAUAAUAUUUUUUGCGUGGUAGCUACGUCUAGUCCCAACCAAUUUAUCCCAGUUCACCACCAACAUGGUAGCUACGUCUAGUCCCUUCAACCAAGAGGAUUUAAACCACUAAUUCACCGCAAAAUCAAACUUCCACUUGAACACCAACUUGUCACAUAGAUUGUGCUUAACCUUCUCAAUCUUCUAGCUUAGUACAAUCAAACUUUUGAGGAAAGACAACCACUACUAGGCUAGGUUACAAAAGAAAAGGUUUGGAUUUUUCUAAAUUAGCUCUCAUAGAGAGUGUUUACAAAUUUGUUCUUUCAUAAACUUUUCUUAGUCCUAAAGAGAAAAGGAAUUAUUAUGAGCAAUAUUUAGGAUGUGCUUAUAGCUUGUGGUUUCUUUUCUUUCUAGUGAGGAAUGCACGUCCAUUUUAUAUAGAUCGAUUAGGGUUUCUGAUCAUUGUCCUGAAUGCAAGAAAUCAACAUAAUUCAUGAAGUUUCUUAUCGUAUCUUUUGAAAUUUGUUUGCCAUAGAAACUUUCCAAAAUGGAUCUUGUAAUUGAUUCAACGUAUCCUUUUUAAAAUAGUCGGGAAGUUGAUGAUACGAUGGUCAUAACAUGUCUUUUUUUAAUAUCUUUAGACAAGUAGCAAAUUCAGGAUGUUCAUCAGAUGAUACACAUAUACUUUGUCUUCUUUGGAGCAUUGACGUUCAUCAAAGCGUACAACAUAAAUCAGAGUCAUACGAUCAGAUGCAUGAAGUGAUUAUUAGAGACAAACUAUUACUUGCUUGUUAAGCUUAUCAGAGGCAGACAAACACUUGCGUUCAAUAUAGUCAACUGAAACAAAACAUAUCGUGUAUUUCUAUAGUCACUAAAACCAGAGCAUUACUUGCAUUAUCGAAGUCAACCAACACAGAGCGUCGCUCGUGUCACUAGAGGCGCGCGCCAAUGCGCUUGCAUCAAACUUAGAAAAACGGAGUGAAGCGAAGUCUUGUUGUUCCUUGUCUUUGUCUAAUUAUCAGAUGAUACGACAUAAGAAUCUAUAUAAUUCACUUAAUCUAAGACCAACACCCUUAACUAAAAUAUUAAUAAAUUAAAUUGUUCUCACAAAAUAAUUUUAUUAUCAUCAAAAUAAGUAAAAAAGAUAGUUCUUCAAACCACUUUGAUUUUACCAAUACUUUCACAUAAUUGAUAUAAUCCAAAGUCUUAUUCUUGAUUCUCAACAAUAGCUGAGUCCUCAAAAGUUUUAUAAUAACAAAGUUGAAGAAGUUUCCCUCCAACAUAAUCUCCAGCAUCAAGUUUCAUUUUCAAAAAGUAUGAAAAUAUACCCAUGAAAAUGAGAUAGAAAAACACUCGAAAAAUCAAAAGGCCACACAAGAUGACAUCACAAUGUCAAACCCUGCUAACUUUGUUAUGUGUGCUCUUCAUGAAUUGCACCAUGCGGCAAAAAAGAAAAAAAUUGCAUUUAUAAUGGUCCAUGUGUUUUGAUGUGACCCCUACAGUCACACACACAAAUAAAAGGAAACCAACUACAAAACCUCACACUUACUCUCUAGUACUAUAUAGGUACAACAAAAGCCUCAUUCUCUAAAGUCUAAACUUCAUUUUCAUUCUUGUUUUCACACCCCCAUCUAAUUCCUCUUCAAAUGGCUCAGGUAUUUUCCCUUUCACAUCCUAAUUACUUUAAUUUAAUUUAAUUUAAUUUUCUUUACAAAAUCUUCCCUUCUCUUAGAUUCCUCAUUCACAUGUUCAUGCUUAAUUAGCUAUAUAAAUAUAUAUAUAUAUAAAUAUUAUAUUAAUUAUAAAUAUAUGUAUGUUAAGAGAAAUUAUUUAAAAUAUGUAUAUAAUUUGUAAUUUAAUUUAAUUUAAUUUAAUUUAAUUUUGUUCUUACUAUUUUUUUCAUAGCAGAAGAUUGUGUUAAAGGUGCUAACUAUGACUGAUGAUAAAACAAAGCAAAAAGCUAUAGAAGCAACUGCAGAUAUAUAUGGUAAGUCAUUUAACAAAAAUUGAAAAAAAAAUCAAAUUUUUAAUACAAAGAAUUUUUUUAAAUUUAUGGAAAUGAAUUUAUGUAACUAAUUAAGGGCUGAUCUAUUGAAUAAUUGUUGAUUUUGAUGAAUAGGGGUUGAUUCAAUUGUUGCAGAUGUAAAAGAACAGAAAUUGACAGUGAUUGGUCAAAUGGACACAGUGAAAAUUGUGAAGAAAUUGAAGAAAGUUGGAAAAGUAGAUAUUGUAUCUGUUGGUCCUGCAAAAGAAGAGAAGAAAGAAGAAAAGAAAGAAGAGAAAAAGGAAGAGAAAAAAGAAGAGAAAAAGGAAGAGAAGAAAGAGGAGAAGAAGGAAGAGAAGAAAGAGGAGAAGAAAUAAACAAAAUAAUUAUCAUCUAUUUUUUUUUUUUCAUUUACUUUCUUUUUGUAUUUUUUUUGGCAUAAUUUCAUAUAUUGAGCUGCAAAAAUGUUCAAGUUCUUUUCUAAGCAUUGAUUAAUCUUCAAUUACCAACAAGAAAAUGGGUUUUAAAUGAUGAGAAUAAUCAAAGAAAUUAAAGAAGAGUUAUUAUUAUUAUAAUUAUAAUUAUUUAAUUUUUUUUCUAGGAUUCUUCCAUUUUUCUCUUUUUCAUAUUUUUCGGUUUGGAAGCAAUUGAUAAGGUAAUUCAACUUUUAUUUUUGACUGGUGGUGUGAUAUAAUCUUCAACAUUAUUAUCAUGAAUUACCUAAAAAAAACAUUUGAUAACAAAAUAUUUUUUUUAUCCAUAAUUAAAAUAAUAAUAAAAAUCACAAUAAUAGUUACAAUAUCCUAAAAUUAAAUUCAAAAAUAUAAUAUUUAAUAUGACAAUUUCAUCGUAUGUAAGUUGAGUUACAUUUUACAACUAUAAAAAAACAUUAAAAUAUUAAAAAAAAUUGUUGUACGGAUGGUUAUAAAAUUUAUUUUAUUGAGUCACAGUGUUAGUUUGUUUUAUCUUUUUGUUAUAUUACGCAAAUGGUACACUUCAUGUGACUGUGAUAAGAUCGAUGCCAGUUGUUUAUGAUUGUGAACGAUUAAUUGUAAGAUCACUUUUUUCUUCUUUCCUUUCAAAAGUCUUUAAAAUAUAUUUCUUUAAUAAAUUUAUAUUUUACAGAAUUUUGAAAAAUAUAAAAGAGAAAAAACUCUUUAAAUGUAAAUAAAAUUGGUAGUAUUGUUUCUUUUAACCUUAUGGUUUGUACAGGAACGAAAUCUUGAUCGUUAUGAUAUAAUUUUGAGAUAAAUAAAAUUUGAUAAAUAAUUAUUUUGAUAAAAAUAAAAAUAUAUAUUUAUUCUUUACUAAAUUAUAAAAAAUUUUAGGAUUUUUUUACCAUUAUAUCUUUUUUUUUAAAUCAAAAUACCUUACUCCCAAUUUUAUAUAUUAAAUUGUCCUAUUUUUUGAGCUCAAUAGGAGGUCGCUGGCCCAUGGUACUACCAGCUGAAGGCAAAAAAAAUUCACCCAGUUGAGGUUGCUGGCCGAGGAUGCGACCCCCCAAAAGAAUCUUUAAUUAUUUUUUUCUUAUUUUAAUUGGGUUUAAUUGGUAAUAUAUUAAUAAAUAAUUAAAUUAAUAAAUAUCUGUCGAACAAUAUCUCCGUGAUCUCCGUUUGCAACCACCGUCAUAUCCUUCUGUUCUGUCGACCUCUCAAUCAAGCUCACAACAACAAAACAUAGCACAAACGUCUCUAUCAUCACGUCACCUACAUGUCCCUACUACAUAAGUUCCAUGUUAUGAUCCACCAACGACUCAGUACUACGUUCCGGUUCCAGAAAUACCAACCGCCGAUUAUCCGAGAGAAAGUGGACUUUUUCUAUAAUUUGUUUGGAACUCAGUGCACAACUCUUGAUUCGGCUUAUGUUGUGCUUGACUUCAUGUAUAAUAAUCAUCCGUCUCAAAAUUAUAUGAAAGCAGCUAGUAGUGGUUCUAAUCCACCUACAACUUACAUUUAGGAUAAUGAUCAGGAUGAACCAGAAGAACCUCAACUCUUUCAAAGAGCUAGACGAGUUCGACGAAAUCCUAGGUGUGAAACUGGAGGUCAUUUAGGUAGACAUUAAUAAAAUGUAUUUUUUUCCGUUAAUUUAGUGUAUUUUGUUUUAUGUUAAUUAAUGUAUUUCUUUUAAAUUUAUAAUAUAAUUUAUUAUUUUUAAUUAUAAUUAUUUUUAACAAUAACAAUAAUAAUAUAUUUAUUUAUUAUUAUUUAUUAUUAUUUAUUAUAAUCAUUUAAUAAUAAUAAUUUAUUAUUAUUAUUAUUAUUUAUUAAUGUAUUAUGUAAUAUAAUUAUUUAUUAAUUUAAUUAUUUAUUAAUAUAUUAUCAAUUAAAUCCCAAUUAAAACGAGCAAAAAAAAUAAAAAAUCCUUUUGGGAGGUCGCAUCUCCGACUAGCGACCUCCAACUGAGUGAAAACUUUUUUGCCUUCAGUUGGUCACACCCUGGGCCAACAACCUCCUAUUGGGCCCAAAAAGUAGAGUAAUUUAGUAUAUAAAACUGGGAGUGAGAUAUUUUGGUUUAAAAAAAGAAAAAGAUGAUAUAAUGGUAAAAAAUCCAAUUUUUUAAGUUUAAUUCUAAAAAAAAUUAAGGACUAAAAAUAUUAAUUUUGUACAAAAAAAAAUUCACAAUAAAGACUAAAGCUUAAUUAAAUUUUUUUUUUUUAAGAAUUACAAAGUUGAGAAUUUUUUAUAAAGACUAAAAUAAAAUUAUGAAAUUUUAUAGGGACUAAAAUUUAUUUAACACUAAAAAUUAUUAUAAAUAAUACUAUUUUAACACAAUAUAUGCCAAAAACUGUCGCCGCAAAACAAGAUUAAAAUCUCAACACUUGAGAGUUUAAUGUCCGAUCACAAAAAGCAUCUGGUUGUCUACAAAGUUGUAAAACAUGAUCAAACGCAUAAUAGGUUAAUGCACUAGAAAAACCCAACGCCUCCAAAAUUACAUUCGAAACCUUAUCAAAACAUGAAAUCAAAGAACCAAAAACACAUAACAUUGUGUGAGCGUUUUAAAUUUCAUGCUUAGCCAAGUUGUCGUUUAUAGGAAUUCUACUGUAAAACAAUCUCCAAACAAAGAGUGCAAAUUUCAACACUACAACCUUAUUCCAAAUGAAUGCAUGUGUAGGUGAUCUCUUACGGGUUGAAUUAGAGAUCAACAAGUUAUAAACACUUUUGACAAAAUACUCGUCAUUAAGUUUAGGUAACUAGGUCCAUCUACCAAGAACACUUCUUGCACUAAAACAUUAGACAACAAUCCUUGAACAUCUCAUCUUUCCAAACAAACAAAUGUCUCAUCCAAUGCCAACCUUUACCCUUAACUCACCACCAUUUUCUAGUUAUCUCCACAACAAUCACAUUUUUAUCACAUACUAGCCCAAACAAUCUAUUAAAUCUCUCACAAAAAGCUUCGACCUUAAGCCAAUUGUCACUCCAAAAUGAAGUAUCAGUCCAAUUACCCACCACCCUACACAAAUUAUUAUUGAACAAACCCUAAUUAUCUAAUCCACAUUUUCACAAACACAAAUAAUAUCCUUCCACCAAAAAGAAAAGUACUAUUUAUUUUGCGCAACCACCCCAACACCCCUAUCCAUCCCAUAUAAUAUUCUCACCAUGAAACAUACUUCAAAGUUCAUCUAGAAUAGUGGAAAGAGACACGACAAAAGUAAGAGAGAAGCCACAAGGUUGAUCCAUUGUCUCGAGCAAUGUUACCCCUGUAGAGGAUGAGGUAAAGGGAAAGAUGAGAAUUUCUCUAUUAUUUAUAAAACCUCAAAGAACAUGAAUCAAAUAACAUUUUAUCAUUUAAAGACACUUAAACAACUUGGAAGAAUGUUUCCCAACACAACUCUUCAAAUGCCUGAAUUCAAAAUCAUCUCUCUCUCUCUCUCACGUGUGUAUCUGACUAGAGAGAAACCAAAAAUGACAAUAAACUCUAACAGUCAAAUUAACUUUGAUAGAAAAUUUUGACUUUUUGGGACCACACAAUACAUACCUUUAACACCUUGUUCCUCUUUUCCUCUUCCCUCAUUGUGAAGUCAACACUAACCACCACCGUCUUACAAAUCACCAUCGUCUCCACCACCACUAUCAUUUUGGUUCGUCUUCACAAUGAUGAUGAGGUUCAACCGUAUGUUACUACCUUGUUCCUCUUUUCCUUUUGUCGUCUGCACAUGGAUCAGUUAUCUAGUUUGAACAUGAAUAUGAAUCAAAAUUGAAUAACUCGAGAGCACAAUCGAAGUUUUAUAAUAUGGUUAAAAAAUCACAUAAAGUCAAAGUUAGAUGUAGACUCCAGAUCAAUUUCACAGAGACUGAGGUGGCUAGCAAAUGGUCCGAGUUUACAUGUCUUUUCUUACACCGGUUAUGUAAUUAACGGCUACACAUUUUAUACCAAAGAACAAGAUGAUCAAACCACUAUGCAAAAUAGUGGUGUCACUCUCGUAGUUGAAGCGAUGCAUAUCUCAAGUGCAAAAGACAAAAACCCAAUAUAUGCAAAUAUAUCAUAUUUUGGGGUUAUCGAGCGCAUAUGGGAGUUAGACUACACAAUGUUUCAUGUUCCCAUAUUUGGUUGCAAGUGGGUCGAUAAUAAUAAUGGCGUUCGAAUUGAUGAGUCAGGGUUCUUGCUUGUCGAUUUUAAUAGGGUGGGAUACAAAGAUGAGCCUAUUAUUUUAGCUUCGCAAGCUCAACAAGUUUUUUAUGUCAUUGAUCCUGCUGAUGGUAAAUGGUCUGUUGUCCUAUCGACCAAUAAAAUAAGUGAUGAUAACAAUAAUGAUGAAGAUGUUGGUAAUGAUCUUUUCUUUGCAACAUCACAACCACAUGAAAUUGAUUCAAUUGAUGAUGGUUUAUAUCUUAGAGAUGAUCAUGAUGAAGGAAUUUGGAUUAAUCCAUCGUUUCGUAUCGUUAAUGGACAAACAAAUGUGAAUCCCUACAGGAAAAGAAGAAGGGCAUCUUAAUGUAAUUUAAGUGUUUGACCUGCCAGAACUGAUUUUCUGCUUAUAUUGAACUUGAAAAAGCUUUGUUUGAGUACUGAGAAUUUUUCUUGAACUUUAAUUUAACUGAUCAUCCCAAUAUGAUCUGAUCAUGUAAUUUAGCAUUGAUAUAUAUAUAUAUAUAUAUAUAGGUAUUUUACUAAUUAUUUAGCAUUUUACAAAAACUGAACUUAUAUUGUAAUUUAACAAAAAUUGAUCAGAACAUAAACUUUGUAAUUUUACAGCGCUUUUGUCAAUAAGCGCUAUAAAAAGCCUUUAAAAAAAAUAAGGAGGUCACAUAUCGCUUGCACAUAAUAAAACAAAGAAGCCUUUUAAAGUGCUUUGUGGAAAAGCGUUGUAAAAGGGUCACAUAGCGCUUGCACAUAAUAAAACAAAGAAGCCUUUUAAAGUGCUUUGUGGAAAAGCGUUGUAAAAGGGUCACAUAGCGCUUGCACAUAAUAAAACAAAGAAGCCUUUUAAAGUGCUUUGUGGAAAAGCGUUGUAAAAGGGUCACAUAGCGCUUGCACAUAAUAAAACAAAGAAGCCUUUUAAAGUGCUUUGUGGAAAAGCGUUGUAAAAGGGUCACAUAGCGCUUGCACAUAAUAAAACAAAGAAGCCUUUUAAAGUGCUUUGUGGAAAAGCGUUGUAAAAGGGUCACAUAGCGCUUGCACAUAAUAAAACAAAGAAGCCUUUUAAAGUGCUUUGUGGAAAAGCGUUGUAAAAGGGUCACAUAGCGCUUGCACAUAAUAAAACAAAGAAGCCUUUUAAAGUGCUUUGUGGAAAAGCGUUGUAAAAGGGUCACAUAGCGCUUGCACAUAAUAAAACAAAGAAGCCUUUUAAAGUGCUUUGUGGAAAAGCGUUGUAAAAGGGUCACAUAGCGCUUGCACAUAAUAAAACAAAGAAGCCUUUUAAAGUGCUUUGUGGAAAAGCGUUGUAAAAGGGUCACAUAGCGCUUGCACAUAAUAAAACAAAGAAGCCUUUUAAAGUGCUUUGUGGAAAAGCGUUGUAAAAGGGUCACAUAGCGCUUGCACAUAAUAAAACAAAGAAGCCUUUUAAAGUGCUUUGUGGAAAAGCGUUGUAAAAGGGUCACAUAGCGCUUGCACAUAAUAAAACAAAGAAGCCUUUUAAAGUGCUUUGUGGAAAAGCGUUGUAAAAGGGUCACAUAGCGCUUGCACAUAAUAAAACAAAGAAGCCUUUUAAAGUGCUUUGUGGAAAAGCGUUGUAAAAGGGUCACAUAGCGCUUGCACAUAAUAAAACAAAGAAGCCUUUUAAAGUGCUUUGUGGAAAAGCGUUGUAAAAGGGUCACAUAGCGCUUGCACAUAAUAAAACAAAGAAGCCUUUUAAAGUGCUUUGUGGAAAAGCGUUGUAAAAGGGUCACAUAGCGCUUGCACAUAAUAAAACAAAGAAGCCUUUUAAAGUGCUUUGUGGAAAAGCGUUGUAAAAGGGUCACAUAGCGCUUGCACAUAAUAAAACAAAGAAGCCUUUUAAAGUGCUUUGUGGAAAAGCGUUGUAAAAGGGUCACAUAGCGCUUGCACAUAAUAAAACAAAGAAGCCUUUUAAAGUGCUUUGUGGAAAAGCGUUGUAAAAGGGUCACAUAGCGCUUGCACAUAAUAAAACAAAGAAGCCUUUUAAAGUGCUUUGUGGAAAAGCGUUGUAAAAGGGUCACAUAGCGCUUGCACAUAAUAAAACAAAGAAGCCUUUUAAAGUGCUUUGUGGAAAAGCGUUGUAAAAGGGUCACAUAGCGCUUGCACAUAAUAAAACAAAGAAGCCUUUUAAAGUGCUUUGUGGAAAAGCGUUGUAAAAGGGUCACAUAGCGCUUGCACAUAAUAAAACAAAGAAGUCUUUUAAAGCACUUUGUGAAAAAGCGCUGUAAAAAGGUCACAUAGCGCUUGCACAUAAUAAAACAAAGAAGCCUUUUAAAGCGCUUUGUAGAAAAGCACUGUAAAAGGGUGCUUGCACAUAAUAAACACAAAGAAGUCUUUUAAUGCACUUUGUGGAAAAGCAUUGUAAAAGGUUGCGUGCACAUAAUAAACACAAAGAAGCCUUUUAAAGCGCUUUGUGGAAAAACGCUGUAAAAGGCUUUUUAAUAAAAUAAAAUAAAAUAAGGAGGUCUUUUACAGCGUUUUUUAGAGUUUUAUAUAUAACAAUAAACCGCUUCAGUUUUCUCUUCAUACACUUGUAGUGGGGUUUCAUAUAUAACAGUAAACUUCAUACGUUUGUUUCCUCCUCCUCUUCAUUCUCCUUCUCAUUGCGAACCCUACGAACAAUAUUGCCUUGUUACUAGCCCUCAUUACGUAAACUUCAUAUAAUUGUUUACUCUUCAUUCUCCUUGUCACUGCGAACCAUCUUUGUUUAUGCGAGCCCUACUCUCCAUUACGUAAACUUCAUACGCUUUUCCUCUUCAUUCUCCUUGUCAUUGCGAACCAUCUUUGUUUCUGCGAACCCUACUCUCCAUUACGUAAACUUCAUAUGCUCGUUUCUGCGAACCCUACUCUCCUACGAAUAGUCCGUAUUUCUGCGAUGUUCUUCUUUGCUCGUAUUUCUGCGUCGUAACUCUAUUGUUAUUCUGUUUUUCAGGUAUUGUAUUUAUUAGUUUUUUGUUUCACGAAAAUGCAUGUUGAACUUAUACUGCUAUCGAUGCCCAAAUAUUUUUUGACUUAUAUGUUUUAUUUUAUAGUGCCCUCGUCAAACUAACAACAUCGAAUGUGGAUACUAUAUAUUGCGAUUCAUGAAGGAGAUUGUUGAUAUGAAUCAAACUAUAAUCCCAGAAACGGUACAAUAUUUUCAUUAUUUGAUUUUCAUAUAUAAACUAUGUAUAUAUUUGAUUCUAACUUAUUUAUGUUCAAUUUUUAUAUCGCACAGUACUUUGACAAUUUCAGUCCAACAUACUCUGAAAGAGAUCUAAUUGAAAUAAAGGAAGACUGAUGUUAGUAUGUGAUUGAAAUGAAAAUUAUUUGAUUUGCUGGGAAAUGACAUGUUGCAAGGGAUAGUUAUAUGAAUAUAUGGUAGUCCUGUUUUGUGUAGUUCUGAUAGUUAUAUGUAUAUGAAUAUGGCACAUUUGAAAAGUUGUGAAUAUGUAGUGAUAUGAAUAUGUAUAUAGUUAUGUGUUGUUGGUAAUAUGUGAAUAUGUAUAUGAAUAUGUUGUGAACUGAUUGUGUAAAUAUGUAAAGUUAUAAAGUUAAAUCAUAAAGUUAUAUAAUUCAGUUGUUGUGUACUGAUCGUGUACUGAUUGUGAAAUGAUUGUGUGAACUGAUUCUGGAUGAAAAUGAUUUUGGAAAAAAAAUUAAAAGACAACGCUGUAAUAGGUGCAUAAUAAUGCAUCUAUUGAAUGCACCUUUUACAACGCUUUUUCAAAAAAGCGUUGUAAUAGGUGCAUAAGAAUGCAUCUUAUGAAUGCACCUUUUAUAGCACUUUUUGGAAGAAGAAAAAACGCUGUAAUAGGUGCAUAAUAAUGCAUAUAUUUUAAUGCACCUUUUACAACGUUUUUUCAAAAUAGCGUUGUAAUAAGUGCAUAAUAAUGCAUCUAUUGGAUGCACCUUUUACAGCGUUUUUUCCAAAAAGCGUUGUAAAACGAGUAUAACAAGUGCGCAAUAUAUCUACCUAUUUUAUAGCGCUUUUUAUUUUAAAAAACAUUGUUGUAUGUUUUUACAACGUUGGAUGCUACAACGCUUGUUUUUUUGAAAAAAUGUUGUAAAUGGCUUAAAAAAAGCGCUGUAAAAUAGGUUUUUUCGUGUAGUGUCCCUUUCUAAUUAGAUACACCCGUGGGAGUGAGAAAAAGACACAUCAAAUAUCAUACAAUUGUCCAUGUCAGCAAAUUAACAAAAUUAACAACAUAGUUAACCUCAUAGACUAGACUAAUUGACAUUUGAGUUUUUUACCUAAGGCUAGGGCUGGACAAAAGAGAUGGGCUCGCUUUAUACCGCCCGGCCCGCAGCAGGUGAAGUAAACUGGGCCGGUUGGAUCGGACCUAAUGGGUCACACGGGUACAGUUAAAGGGUUCAAUAGAGUAGAUUCGGGCGGGUUCGGGUUAUGAAUUUUGGACCGGCGGUGACCGACCUGCCCGAUAACAGUUUAUAAUAAUUAUUAGUAAGUGUUGGACUGGGUCUAAUAAAUCCAAUUUAAUUUGGCCCAAUAUUAUAACUCAACCCUAACCCUAAUUUUAAUCAGUCUCACAAUUCCACCCACAGCUCAUUCUCUCGUCAUCAUCCUCUCACGAACCCUAUUCUUCACACCAGCAAACCCUAAUUUCUUCAAGCCUCAACGGCGGCCAACGAUGGUCAGUGGCGGCCACAUCCACUCUAGGUUAUCACUUUAUCUCUUAUUUCUCAACUCUCUAACCUUUUUCGUUCCAAACUUUAUAAUCUCGUUUUUCAAAACUGUCUUUUUUAGUUUUUGUUGUUUUAAAUCGAUUAGUUUCGUCUUAGUUUCAUUUUUUAUUGUUAGUUUCGUCUUUGUUGUUAUAAACAUUUUCCUCUUUGUUAGCAUUUUCAAUCUCGUGUUAAAAAUAGCAUUUUUCAUCUUUGUUAUUUUAAACAUGUUCAUCUUUUUCUAAUUUAUUUUGCAUUGUGUUAGGGUUUUUAUUUUUUUUUAUUAUAAUUAGGAUUUUGAUUUAACUAUUGUUUCUGUUUUUGGAUUUUCUAGAGUUUGGUUUUUUUGUUUUUGCAUGUUGUUUUAUAUAUUAGAUUUUUCAAUUUUCUUAAGUAUAAUGUGUUAUUAUGUAGUAAUCUGCCUCACCUUAACAUGCAGUUUGUCGUGUUCUUAACUCUAUUAUUUGUCCUACUAAUUGUUUGUCCUCAUCUUAAAUUAUUUGUUUUAAUUAUUAGAUUUUGGUUUGUUUUAUUACUGUUAAGGCAAAAAAUCCAUUAUGUCUAAUUUUCCACAUUAAUCCUUACUUUUUAACUUUCUAUUAUGUUCUUAAUAUUGUUGUUGUCUUCAAUAUACAUCAUGAUAACAAAUCUUUUAAGUAUAUUAUUUUGUUUUAUAUGGCAGGGUUAGGUUUUGAAAUUGAAAUUACUUUUUGCAUUGUUAGCAAAUAGAUUAAUCAAUUAAGAAAAAUCUAUUUUCCUUUGAGAUUAUAAGCUCUAAAUAGUUGCUGUUAAUUUGUAUCAGACUCUUUGUUUCUUGUUUUGAAUUGAAGAAUGUGUCAUGUGCAUUUUCUUAGUUGUUUUGUUGUAUGCUAACCAUGAUUAGAAAGUACAAACAUUUUCUGUUAGUUGAUACUUUCUGUUUCAAUCACUACCUUUAGACAUCUCUUAUUUGUAGUAUCAAAACUUUACUAGUAUAAUGCCAUGAUUCACUUGGUAAUUUUAUCAUUUAUAUACUCAUGACAAUACAAUUUGUUAAAUUAUUAUCCCUUAAUACUUCUCUUUUUAGUACAUCCAAUUUAAUUUUCCAUCACCUUGAAACCUUGUAGUUCCUCUAGGUAGAACAUUUGAUAUUUGAUAAUUUAUGCUCUUUCUGACCAACAUUUGACAUUCAUACUCUUAUUAUUUUUUUUUUUUUGGUAUGAUGUAGAAAAACAAAACUGUUUUUUAGUUAUUAGAUUUGUUGCUAUUAUUUCAUAUAACUAAUUUAUUUUUAUUCUUGUUGUUUCAUUUUCUCUACUUAUUGGAUCUCAUAUCUUCAAGGUAAAUAUUAUUUUAUUUAUUUUUUCUUUGAUUUUGUGCAUACUCUAGAGUUUCAAUAUUCUGAUUUUUGAAUUCAAACUCUAAUUUCCAACUCUAAUAAAUAUUCAUAUCUAGAAAACUCUAAUAUGCAUAUUAUGAUAUUUAAAUAUUCUGGUAUGAAUUCAAACUCUGAUGUCUAGAUAUGAAUAAUUAUUAGAUAUGAAUAUUAUGAUUUUUUCCCAAAAUACUUUCUAGAGUUUGACUUUUUAAUUAUUAGAUAUGAAUCACCCCUUUUUGAUAUUCUGGUUGUGGUAAAUUAUUAGAUAUGAAUAUUCUGAUUUUUUCCCAAAAUACUUUCUAGAGUUUGACUUUUUAAUUAUUAGAUAUGAAUCACCCCUUUUUGAUAUUCUGGUUGUGGUAAAUUAUUAGAUAUGAAUAUUCUGAUUUUUUCCCAAAAUACUUUCUAGAGUUUGACUUUUUNNNNNNNNNNNNNNNNNNNNNNNNNNNNNNNNNNNNNNNNNNNNNNNNNNNNNNNNNNNNNNNNNNNNNNNNNNNNNNNNNNNNNNNNNNNNNNNNNNNNNNNNNNNNNNNNNNNNNNNNNNNNNNNNNNNNNNNNNNNNNNNNNNNNNNNNNNNNNNNNNNNNNNNNNNNNNNNNNNNNNNNNNNNNNNNNNNNNNNNNNNNNNNNNNNNNNNNNNNNNNNNNNNNNNNNNNNNNNNNNNNNNNNNNNNNNNNNNNNNNNNNNNNNNNNNNNNNNNNNNNNNNNNNNNNNNNNNNNNNNNNNNNNNNNNNNNNNNNNNNNNNNNNNNNNNNNNNNNNNNNNNNNNNNNNNNNNNNNNNNNNNNNNNNNNNNNNNNNNNNNNNNNNNNNNNNNNNNNNNNNNNNNNNNNNNNNNNNNNNNNNNNNNNNNNNNNNNNNNNNNNNNNNNNNNNNNNNNNNNNNNNNNNNNNNNNNNNNNNNNNNNNNNNNNNNNNNNNNNNNNNNNNNNNNNNNNNNNNNNNNNNNNNNNNNNNNNNNNNNNNNNNNNNNNNNNNNNNNNNNNNNNNNNNNNNNNNNNNNNNNNNNNNNNNNNNNNNNNNNNNNNNNNNNNNNNNNNNNNNNNNNNNNNNNNNNNNNNNNNNNNNNNNNNNNNNNNNNNNNNNNNNNNNNNNNNNNNNNNNNNNNNNNNNNNNNNNNNNNNNNNNNNNNNNNNNNNNNNNNNNNNNNNNNNNNNNNNNNNNNNNNNNNNNNNNNNNNNNNNNNNNNNNNNNNNNNNNNNNNNNNNNNNNNNNNNNNNNNNNNNNNNNNNNNNNNNNNNNNNNNNNNNNNNNNNNNNNNNNNNNNNNNNNNNNNNNNNNNNNNNNNNNNNNNNNNNNNNNNNNNNNNNNNNNNNNNNNNNNNNNNNNNNNNNNNNNNNNNNNNNNNNNNNNNNNNNNNNNNNNNNNNNNNNNNNNNNNNNNNNNNNNNNNNNNNNNNNNNNNNNNNNNNNNNNNNNNNNNNNNNNNNNNNNNNNNNNNNNNNNNNNNNNNNNNNNNNNNNNNNNNNNNNNNNNNNNNNNNNNNNNNNNNNNNNNNNNNNNNNNNNNNNNNNNNNNNNNNNNNNNNNNNNNNNNNNNNNNNNNNNNNNNNNNNNNNNNNNNNNNNNNNNNNNNNNNNNNNNNNNNNNNNNNNNNNNNNNNNNNNNNNNNNNNNNNNNNNNNNNNNNNNNNNNNNNNNNNNNNNNNNNNNNNNNNNNNNNNNNNNNNNNNNNNNNNNNNNNNNNNNNNNNNNNNNNNNNNNNNNNNNNNNNNNNNNNNNNNNNNNNNNNNNNNNNNNNNNNNNNNNNNNNNNNNNNNNNNNNNNNNNNNNNNNNNNNNNNNNNNNNNNNNNNNNNNNNNNNNNNNNNNNNNNNNNNNNNNNNNNNNNNNNNNNNNNNNNNNNNNNNNNNNNNNNNNNNNNNNNNNNNNNNNNNNNNNNNNNNNNNNNNNNNNNNNNNNNNNNNNNNNNNNNNNNNNNNNNNNNNNNNNNNNNNNNNNNNNNNNNNNNNNNNNNNNNNNNNNNNNNNNNNNNNNNNNNNNNNNNNNNNNNNNNNNNNNNNNUGCCACAAUUUACAAUACCGUCUAGACGAACUGUAGCUAGGGAUAGUUUUCAAUUGUUUAUGGAGGAAAAAGUAAGGUUGAAAGCUUUUUUUAAGUCUGAUUGCAAUAGGGUAGCUCUUACAACAGAUUGUUGGACUUCAAUUCAAAACCUUAACUACUUGACCCUUACGGCACACUUUGUUGAUAAUGAUUGGAAUUAUCAGAAAAGGAUUAUUAGUUUCACAGUAAUUCCAAAUCAUAAGGGUGACACAGUUGGUAAGAAGAUUGAAGAGGUUUUAAAGGAUUGGGGGAUUCGAAAUGUGUCAACUAUAACCGUUGAUAAUGCAUCAUCCAAUGAUGUAGUUGUUGCUUUUUUGAAAAAAAAGAUAAAUAAUAUGGAUGGUUUGAUGGGGGAUGGGGAACACUUCCACAUGAGGUGUGCUACUCAUAUUCUGAAUUUAGUUGUAACUGAUGGCUUGAAAGAAAAAAAUUUGGCAAUCUCUAGCAUUAGAAAUGCUGUUAGAUUUGUAAAAUCUUCACCUCAUAGGGCUGCCAAGUUUAGGGAAUGUGUUCAGUUAGCUGGAAUAUCUUGUAAAAAAUUGCUAUCUCUUGAUGUUUCAACUCGUUGGAAUUCAACCUACUUGAUGCUGCGGAGAAGUUUCAAGUAGCUUUUGGGAAGCUUGAGGUUGAGGAGUCAAGUUAUAAGGAUUUCUUUGGAGAAGUUGGUCCCCCAACUAGUUAUGAUUGGGAUAUAGCUAGGGCGAUUGCAACUUUUUUGAAGUUAUUUUAUGAGGCAACUAGAGUGUUUUCCGCCUCACAGCAUGAGAGUAUACAUGCAGCUUUUCACCAAUUGUCUAUAAUCUAUUGUGAGCUGCAAAAUGCCUAUUUGAAUUUGAACACCAUUUUUGCAAGUGUGGCUGAGGAUAUGUUAGCAAAAUAUGAUAAGUAUUGGGGUAAUAUUGCAAACAUUAAUAAGUUGCUAUAUUUUGGGGUAAUUUUUGAUCCACAGUAUAAGUUGAAAUAUGUUGAGUGGUGCUUUCAAGAUAUGUAUGCAACUAAAUNNNNNNNNNNNNNNNNNNNNNNNNNNNNNNNNNNNNNNNNNNNNNNNNNNNNNNNNNNNNNNNNNNNNNNNNNNNNNNNNNNNNNNNNNNNNNNNNNNNNNNNNNNNNNNNNNNNNNNNNNNNNNNNNNNNNNNNNNNNNNNNNNNNNNNNNNNNNNNNNNNNNNNNNNNNNNNNNNNNNNNNNNNNNNNNNNNNNNNNNNNNNNNNNNNNNNNNNNNNNNNNNNNNNNNNNNNNNNNNNNNNNGGAUAUUAUUCUAGUAAGUGUGUGAAGAUGAGUGAAAAAUUUGAUAUUCUUGCUUGGUGGAAAUGUAACGCAACUCAGUACCCAAUCUUAUCUCUUAUAGUCAAAGAUAAUUUGGCUAUACCGGUGUCUACAGUUGCUUCUGAAAGUGCUUUUAGUACUGGUGGGAGAGUAAUUGAAACCUUUAGAAGCUCUUUAAAGCCAGAAAUGGUUGAAGCAUUAAUUUGCACUCAGAAGCAUUAAUUUGCUUCUGGAUAUUAUUCUAGUAAGUGUGUGAAGAUGAGUGAAAAAUUUGAUAUUCUUGCUUGGUGGAAAUGUAACGCAACUCAGUACCCAAUCUUAUCUCUUAUAGCCAAAGAUAUUUUGGCUAUACCGGUGUCUACAGUUGCUUCUGAAAGUGCUUUUAGUACUGGUGGGAGAGUAAUUGAAACCUUUAGAAGCUCUUUAAAGCCAGAAAUGGUUGAAGCAUUAAUUUGCACUCAGAAUUGGCUAAAACCUUCACUCACUUGUUUCAAAGACUUAAAUCUUAGUGAAGAUGUUGAUAUUUCUGAAGAAAUUAUUAAAGGUAAAAUUAUUUAUGUAUCUUUUAACUGUUUGAACUUUCUAAUAUAUUUAUAUGUUCAUAAUAUAGUUUAAUGUUUAUUAUUUUGUUAAUUAUUUCAGAGUUUCAAGGAAUGUCAGUUGGAAAGGCAAAUACUACAGGUGGAUCAUCAUCACAGCCACCUAGUUGUGGUUGAAUAAAAUUAUUGUAUGUAAUAUUCCUUUUUAUUGUUACUAAUUUGAAAUGAUUUUGUCAAUAUUGUGUUAGUACUAACUAAUUCUGCCAAACUUUUCAGAUUUAGACUUUUUUGAAUUUUUUGAAGUCGCACAAUCUUAAGGCAAAUACUGACUUGGCUCUAUGACAAUAUCAACACAAAGUUUUUGGGAUUUGUAUAAACUGUUGUUAUGCCUGGUAAGUUAUUAUCGUUAUAUCUUAUUGUUAUUUUAAUUGCCAAAAAUUGUUACUAACCAAAAUUGUAAGUAGCUACAACACAACUGUUACUCUGUUAGGAAUCUAAACUGCACGUUAUAGAUAUAUGUUAGCAUAUAUUAGCAUUUCUGUGAUAAGAAAGAACAUAAGAUUAAUUUGUUAUUCUUAUAUAAUUACCCUUUUAUUUUCCAACAGCUGGUGCAUUAGAUUCUGAGACUGAUUUUGCUGCAAGUCAUAGAAAAACAAGUGUUUUAUCAUAUGUAUGUUACCUUUUAUCUUUAGUCCAUUGUGAACUAUUAGAAUUUUAUUUUUAAUAAAAUUAAAGUACUGAGUAUGAAUAUUGAUUCUGUAGGUUGCAGGAGUUCUUGCAGAUUGCUUGGUGUUAAAUCUUUAUUUAACAUUAGCUAAGUUAGUAGCAACAAUUUAUAUUAUUGUGAACAACAUAUAUUGGUAUGUCAACCUGAUUUCUUAGUUUGAUCUUAUUGUUGAUUCAAAAUGAAUGAUCUAAUAAUGUUGAUUGCAUUAUUUGUUAUUCAAACUAGGCUGCUAUCAAGUCUGGAAUUUCUUAGUUUGGCAUUAUCAAGUCUGAAAUUUUUUGAUUUUGAUUGCAAACAGGUAUUGAAUUAUUUUUUCUAUGGUACACAUCAACAACAUAUUUUUACAUUGGUUAUUGGAUACUAAUUUUUGCUCUAAUUUUUUAGGUUGGCAAUUGGAAAUAUAUAUUGAUAAUUGUAUUGUCAUAGAGUCAAUUAAAACUAUCAAUAUUUUCCAAGAAGUGUGUAUUAAUAUUAGACUUUAGUGUUAUGUGAAUGUAGUUGAAAAACUAAGUUGUUAUAAUCUAUUGUUGAAUAACUAGGUUGUGACAAUCUGUUGUUGAAAAACUAUGUUGUGAUAAUCUGUUGUUGAAAAACUAAGCUGUUAUAAUCUGUUGCUCUGAAAAACUAAGCUGAUAUGUGAAUGUAUUAAUAUUAAUAUUAUGUGAAUGUACUUGAGUUGUUGAAAAAUUAAGCUGUUAUAAUAUGCUGGACUUGAAAAACAAUGAUUGUGUUAAACUUUUAGCUGUAAUAUGUUGGAUUUGAAAAACAAGGAUUGUGGAAAACUUUUAGUUGUAAGCUGUUGUAUUUGUAUGUUAUGUGAAUGUAGUUGUAAACUGAGUUGUUGUAGUUGUAAGUUGUUGCAUUAUAGGAAUAUAAUUGUAUGUUAUGUGAAAGUUAGUAGCCUAAUUUUAAAAAAAAAAAUGAGUACAAAUUUUAUCUUUAAAUGGCUCAAAAGUGGUCUUAUAUUGGAUAAUAAACUACUACUUUGCUAAGAAAUAAAAAAAAAUAGUUAUUUUGAUAAAUAUGUUAUUGGGUCAAAAAAAUUUGAAUGGCUAAAAAAAAAUUGAAUGGCCCAAACAAUGAUUCAACCCGGAUGUAACCACCCGAUUAACCCGCAAUGCGUUUAACCCGCAACCCGGAUACCCGAAUUUUAUAUUGAAGGAAAAUGAGCUUGUAAUGUUCAACCGCGGAUUGGCCCGGUUGGUGUUUUUGGGCCCGAAUCCGCCCUACCCAACCCAUUGUCCAGCCUUACCUAAGGCAUAUACUAAAGUAACAACACCAUUUACAAUCACAUACCAAAAUAGUGGUUUAUGCGUUGAAAAAUAAUUUCUUUAUUCGAAUAUUUAAUGGUUGUAAUGAUUUAAUUAAAAAAAUUCUUCUGCAUCACGAAAUUCCUUCUAUUUGUUUGUGUUGUGGGUCAUCUUCAUUUCCUUAACGUCAAUGGCUCCAAAUUCCAAAAGAGAUUACGUAAAAAAAAAAAAGUCCAAAAGAGAUAGCGAAUUUAUUUUUUUAAAUAAAUAAAUAAAUAAAACAGUGAGAAGUAUUUUGUGCAGACAACAUUUGUUGUCAAAAAAUUUUGGGAGGGACAUGAGAUGAUCGUGCACAAGUACAACUUUGCUUGAUCAGCAAACCAUUUUAGCCACAUCCAGUCAAUUAUUAUACGUUGUUAAUGAUAAAUUGAUUAUUAAAUAUUUUUUAUAUAAAAUAUAAUUAAAUGAGUAUUUUAUUAAUUUUUUAGUUUUUAAAUAUGUUUUUUAUUAGUAAAUUUAAUUUUUAAAUCUGUUUUUUAUUAAUCAAUUUGGUCUACAAAAUUAAUAUUAAAAUAAAAUUUUAAUAAUAUAUUUAAUUUCAAUAUAGUGAUUGCAAUCUGAUACAUUUAAGAAACUAAAAUAACACUUUACUUUUGUAUAAAUAUUAAAGUUUUAGUUAAAGUCCUAUGAAUAAAGUAAAGUAUCAUUAGAGUUUGUGUAGAUAAAAGCUGUUUCUUUAAUAUUUAGUAAUCUGUUUUGGUCUUUAUUAUUUUGUUUUUUUUAAAAAAAAUAUAUAAUAAUAAAUCUCAAAAAGACUAAAAAUAAAAUAUUUAAAAAAAAUUGAAAUUUUGCAUAAAAUUAAAGGUUAUAAAGGUGAUCUAAAGUAGACCUAAAUUAUGGUCAGAGUUGUAGAAACACAUAAAAAAUGACGGUAUAAUUUAUCAUAGGGGUUAAAUAUAUACAUGUACUUUGACAAUUAAAUUAGUUUAUAUUAAAAAAAAUUCAUAUUAGAAUAUUGUAUACUAUUAACCUCCGUCAUAUAUCUUUUUAAUAGAACGUACUUUACAAUUUUUAAAAACACUAUUAUGUGGUGACAAAAAAAUGUCUAUGCAAAUUCUAAUGAUCCCUCACAUUGAAUUCUCUUUGAUAUGCUAUGAUCCCUAAUUCAAUGAUUAUUUAGGCUUGAGUCCAAUUCAGAGUAGACUCGUCAUGAGUUUGGUCCAAAACAAAAACUCUUAACAAAUAAUUGAUUUUGUGUUAUAUUCAAUUAAUAAUUGGCUUUAAGAGGUUAGAAAUGGUGAUUCAUCAUAAUGACAAAGUUCCAGCUAAACAAUGUCGUAUACUCCACAAAUUUAUUUAUGAAUAUGCAAUAAUAAGCCACUUAAAUGGGUAUACCAAACAACCACUAAUCCACUCUAGUGCUAUACUUCCUCUAACUUUAUUUAAAAGUAAAAAGUAAUCAAAUAAAUUUGAUGUAUUUAAUCUUAAUUUUAAAAUAAAUAUAUAAAAAAAAUUAAUUUAUUUUUAUUUAUAAAUAAAAUCGGAAAGAGUAUGUAUCAUAAUAUAUUUAUAUUUUGAUUCAUAUAGAUAGACUUCUAAUAAUUAUGAUUGAAAGUUUCAUUUUUAUUCAAAUUAUGAUUGAUAUAUUAAAGUUAAAUAAUUGAAGGUCUUGAGUUUAAACUGGGUAAAGAAAAAAAAAUUAACAUAUCAACUAUAUAUUAUAACAUAUUAGCAUUUUAUCGUAAACAUAUUAACAUAUUAGUAUUUGGUUAUUUUAAAAAUUUUUUUACACUCUUUUAGCAAAAAUAAUAAUACAUUUUACAGUCAUUUUUUAUUUCUAUUAAAUCCGACAAUAAAUAAAGAUAAAUUUAUCAAAAGUGAAUUUCGAAGAAAUUAAAGAAUUUUUAUUUUGAGUAGAAUUUUUAACGUUAAAAAAUUGUUUCAUGAAAGUUCAAGUUUUGACAAUAUAUCAACUUUACAAAUGUAUCAAUGUUUUUCAUCAAAAUUAGUUUAUGUGAUAAGAAAUUAACUUUGUAACAUAUUGUCAAUGAUUUUUCAUCAAAUAUCAACUAUGGACCACAACACAAUGAAAAAGAAGUUGGAAGAAUUUAACUGAAUGGAAUUGAAAAGCUUACUUGUCUUAUAGUUUUAAUGCUGCUUAUUUUAGUGAGUUUUAUGGUCCGACUGGACCAGAAGCUUCUCAGGUUCAAGCAUUUACAUCCAAGAAAAGAUGUUUUUAAAAUAAGUAAAAAGUAAAGCAAUAAAAUGUAAUUGGCAAGAAAAGUUAAAUUGUGUGAAUUUUAAAAAAUAUAGUAAGUUAGACAUCAAAGAAGAUAGAAUGUGAGUUUAUGGGUAAGAGUUUCAUAUUAUAAUUUUAAAUAAUAUAAUUCAAAUCGCGUAUGAGACCGUUGUAAAAUAAUUAUUAGUGUUAGUCUUAUUAAUAAUAACUUUAAAAAAUAUUAUAAAUAUAAUUUUGAUCAUUCUAUUUUGCUCAAAAUAAACUUAUAAUCCCCUCAUUUUUAAAGUUGUUUGGUCUCUUAUUAACUAAUUCUUUGAAUUAUUUUGGUCCCCCACUUUUUUUUUUUGACAACGUGGAACUCUCAUUAAUUAUUUGGUACUUACAUGACAUUCAUGAGAAUAUAUAUUUUUUUAUGUCAUUAUUUUUGUAAUGCAUAUGAUUUUAUUUACAUAAUGAAAUAUUAAAAAUCAUUUUAUUUAUUUAUAAAUUAAAAUACUUAAGUUUUAAUUUUAGAAUUGAAAAUAUUAAAAUAAUAAAAUAUUUAUAAUUUAUUUAUUUUAUUUAACAUAAAUUAAUAUUUUAUAAUAUUUAUACAAAAUAAAUAAAAUUUAUUUAUUUUAAUUUUAAUACUUAAGUUUAUUAAAUUUUUAAUAUUAUAUAAUAUUUAUUUUAUUUAUAUAUUAAAAUAUUAAAAAUAAAUUUAUUUUAUAUAUAAACUAUAAUAUUUAAAUUUAAGAUAUUUGAAAAAUUAAUACUAAAAUUUGAACCUUUAAAUAUAAUAUUAAAUUUACUUAUUUUUAUCAAAAAAUUAUUUAAAAUUAUUUAAAAUUUUAUUUAUUUUAUAUUUAAUAUUUUCAUUUAUAAAUAGAUAAAAAUAAAGUUAAUUACAAUAAUAACAUGAUUGCCACAUAAUAAAAAAUAGUGGGGGACCAAAGGAUUCUAAUAAUUAAUUAAUAGGAGGAUCAAAAAAUUAAUUUUAUACAUAAGGAGGCUAAAGUUUAUUUUUGAUAAACUAGAGGGACACAAUAUACAUUUAAGCAUUAAGAAAAACGAGUGUAAAUAAAUUUUAAAAAUAAAUGUAGUAGUUAUAUAAAAAGAGUAUGUAUUUAAAGUGCAAAAAAAAAAAAGAAUUUGAAGAGCAGAAAAGAAUAGACAAAUUUAAAAUGUACAGUGAUAAAUAUAAAGUACUUUUUUAUAUCAAAUAAUUUGGUGGCUAGACUCGCACAUCUUAACAUCUUAAAUGUAGAGAAGUGAUAAUCUCAAGUUUGAAUCCAAGUUAUUACAUAUCAAUAUCCUUGCAUUUAUCAACUGAAUCGUAUUUACAGAAAAGAAAAAGACAAAAGAAGAUUUAAUAUUGAUACCCGUCUGCACCCACUAAUAAUUUUAUAAUGUUUUUAAAUUUGUAUAUACAUAUGAGGAUUCAAUAUUCAAACCUAGAGUUUAGGCAUGGCAACGGGGUGGGGCGGAGACGAAUUUGGCCUCCUCCACUCCGUACCCGACUAAUCGCGGAAAACCCGCAUCCACCUCAUUUCAUAGCAGGUGUAAAAUUUAAGCCAUAUCCCCGUCUAUAAUGGGGUUCGAAUUUCUCCGCUCACAUCCACACCGAUUCAUAUAUAUAAAAUUAUAAAUUUAAAAUUCUUAUCUAUUAUCAUUAAUAUAAUAAAAUAAUUAUUAUUAGACAAUAAUAAAAUUAAAAAAUAUUUAGCACCCAAAAGUAAUUCAUUGAGAAUUCCAAAUUUUUCUUUAAAUUAUUUUUCGAUAAUUCAAGUCUAAAUAAAAACAACUAAGAUAAAUCACGUUUCUAAAUACAAUACAAAUAAAAUAAAUCACAUAUAUUUUUUAAAAUCUAUAAGAUUUCUAAAAAUUCAUUCAUAUUUUAAUCAUCAAAAACACAUUUUUAAAUAGUUCAUCACUGUAAAAAUUAUUAUUUUCAACUUAUAUUUUGAAAUAAAAUUUAAACUAUAUAUAUAAAUAGAUAGGAAAUUUUACAAUUAAUUAACACUUCCAAAAUAGUUCCAAAUUAUUUUCUUAUUUUCUCAAACUUACAAAAAAAAAAUUGUAUAUAUAUACAUUAAAGUAGUGCACGUGACACAAAACAUAAGACAUAUGAUAAUGAGAAUGAAUUACACUAAUUCAUAAAUCUACAAAAUAGUACCCUCCUCUCACACUAACUACUUGACAUGCUUAUAGAUACAUCCCUCAGUUUCAAUCAAGCCACAAAAUUGGUCCAAAACAUAACACACCAUCAAUUUUAAAGAUUUUCGAGUUCUAUUCUAAUCUUAAAAAUUGAGUAUCAAAUAAAAAUUGCAAUUUUAUAAUUAAUAAAAAAUAUUGAUAAAAUAAAUUUUAGUUUCUAUAUGCAUACCAAUCUACAUGAGACACUCUACACAUAUCAAUCUACAUGAUGCACUCUACACAUACCAAUCUAAUGCAUACCAUUUUGUUAGGUUAAUUCAUAAUAAAAAAAAUUCUACUUGUAAAAUACAUCAAUUAUAGAAUCCAAAAUUUAGAUAACUUUUCAAAAGGAAUUUCACUAUUGAGAAGAUUUUUAAAAACUCUAUUUUUUUUUCCCUUCUUUUUACUUCUCUUUCUCAAUUAGUAUACAUUUUAUGAUUAGUACUAUUGUAAAUCACUGAAGAGUUCUUAAACUCUAAAACUCUAACAUCGAGUCGAACUCUAAUGAGUUCAUAAUAUCAUAAUCAGAAAAUCAAACAUUUUAAAUAAAUAUCCCAACACCCUUACGGUUCAAUAUCCACACCAGCCCCUAAACCAAGAUAAUAACAACUGUUUUUAAUUUUCUUAAAAACAAUACCUAGUAAAACAUAUUGUAAACUUUAAGCUGUUUUAAACAUUAAAUAAAAUCAAUAGCAUAUAAUUAUUGUUAUUUUAUAAAUCAACAAAAAUUCAACUCAAUUUAUUUUCUUUAAAAUAAUCAAGAGUAAUUCAAACAAAAGUUAUUUUCAUCAUACAAAAUAAGUAAAUUUUAACUCCUUCAAAAUUCAUUUUUAAAAAAUUCGAAGUUCUACCAACCUCUAAUAUUCAAGAAUUACUAUUGCUAAUAAUAUGAAUUUCAUACUAUCUAAAUCAUGACGAACAUUCUAAAUUGUUUUCAAAACCAAUAUCAAAACUCUACUCAUCUAGAUACAACCAUCAACACUUUCAAGUGAUUUAAAGUUAACAUUAUGAUUUAAAAUUGAUUUUUUUUUAACACAAGCCAACAUAAAAUAAAAGUAAUAGAUUUUUAGUCAAAAUUAAAACUUUAAACGUAAGAGAUAUAUUCCUAUCUAACUCAAAGUUUAGAACGAAACAUCAUUUUUUCUCUAAAUUGAGUUUCUAACAGAAUAAUAAUAAUUUGUACCUAGUAAAAGUCAAUACUUGAAGUUUUAAACAUAUAAUCCAUUCAGAAACCAAUGUUUCAAUCAAUUAUUUAUUAUAUCAAACGCUUUAAACAAAUAGAUAUCAAAACUAAAUAUUUUAACUUGAUUAAGGGUGAAAGUCAAACUUUUAAAACAACUAACUAGUAAGGUAUGGCAUUUGAUAACUAAGAUUACGUGAAUGAGAUUAAUAACUCGAAACAUACAGUUGGUCAAUCAAAAUUAUUACUUCCAACUAUUCGUAUACAACAUGAGUGCAAAAAUCAUAGUUCGAUAGACAGCAAUAAGCAACAAGUAACUAACAUAAUCUUGUCAACAAUUAAAAUUAACUCAAAUCUUAACAAGUAAUUUCAUGGUUUAUUUACUCACUUGGGUAGGAAUUUAGGAUCCAUAACACAAUCAGAGUAAGCAAAUAAUAAAUAGUUAAUUAGUAAUCUCAAAAAUAUGUAUAAUUAUACAAAAGCAUACAUCACAUAACACAAUACUAUAACAAGAGAAAAAACAUGAUAGUUAAAAUCAUUAACACACAAGAAAACACAAUUGACAUGACAGACAUUUGACUCACAUUGAAUCGACACUCAACCCACUCGGCCUGAUUGGAUAGACCUACUCUGAUACCACUAAUUUGAUACCCUAAACCCCAAAAUAACAUUUAUAAUAAUAUAUACUAAAUUAUUUGAAGAAAACUUGCAGCAGAUAAAGAAUGUUUGUUAAAGAGAAUAAAACUUUAAUAUCUGAUUUAGGAUAUCACGUUUCUCCAAAUACACAUGUCACAAUUCAACUUUUUUUUUUCUUUAAAAUAGUACAAUAUCAAUGAACUUGAUUCAAGUAGGAUUUCUUGAUUUAAUUCCCAAGACUUACUCGUACUAAGUUUUCAUAUAAAAAGUCAUUUAUAAUAGCAUAAGUAAAAUACACAUUACAACUCUUAAUUCCCGGUAUCACCUAUCAGAGCGGGGUUUCUCCCAAACUUGAACUUCGAGACUCAUUAACCUGUAAUAACUGCGAUUUCGCAAACGCAGGGCCAAGCCAGUCAAACACAAACAACGAAGGAGGUGAGUUUUGAAAUCAUGUUGAUAGUAUAAUAUAAAUAAGAUGAACACGCAAUUAAUCAUCAAUAAACCGUAUCAUUACACAAACAUUCUUCAAGGAAAAACAUCACAUUAUAUAGUCAAAAUCAAAGAAAAUCAAUACACUUCACUGUAACAUCAAAUCAUCGUAUAAAUUAUUAUUACACAUAAUACAUAGUAAUCGCAACAAAACAAUCACAAGAAAAUGCAAUGCUAUGCAUGAGCUUAGACUCUACUUCACAAUGUGGUACCAUUCUAACUCUGAAGUACUUGGUUAGGAGGCUUGAUACUAUGCCACCAUCUCGGUGGACGGACAAUUCAAAUUGGCCCUGUCCUCAUAGAUCCCCUCAACUCAACCCGAGACACAUAUACGCGACAAUCGAGGUAAACGUGUGUUGCGCGGUAGCUCCCGACAUUUGGAGUGCUACCUCCAAGUCACCUAGGAAUUCCCCACCCGAAUACCUCCAAGGUCUAACAAUCUUGCCUUAAGGCUCGACAGCAGACCGCCACGAUCAGACUCAUUGAGUUGUACUUCCCCGCAAUCACUAGGCUUGUCAGGCCCUACCUAUAUGAUGACAAAAUAAUCUCCACUUCACAAAUUCACAAUAUUUAUUUUCUCCCCUCGUUGGUAUAUGAUACUCCAUUAAUACAGUCAUCUCAUACACAAAUUGAAAUCACAAUAUUCUCAUCACAAUUUAUAACAUCACUAUAAUUAAUCACACAUCAUCAUCAUCAUCACAUAAACUCAUCACAAUUUAUAGAAUCACUAUCAUCAAUCAUACAACAACACAUAUAUUCAUCACAAAUUUAUCACAUCACCAUUAUUAAUCAUACAUUAUCAUCAUUACAUAUAAUUAUCACAACACAUCUAUUUUUAUUAUAACAUCAUUUAAACUCAUCUAAUCAAACAUAUGCAUAAAAUUAAUUCAACAACCAAUAUCACAAUAAUAUCACACACCACACAUUUAAAGAAAUUAAAUCAAAUAUCACAAUAAUAUCAAAUGCCACACAUUCAAACAAAUUAAAUCAAUCAACACCCUACAAAUAUUUCUAUUCUAUAUUUUAAUCUCACAAUUUCCAUAUUUUCACAUUAACUAAUUUAUCCCUCAAAGGGCUACUGCAAUACGUAGCGAGCCCAAACGGAGAAGUCGAGUAUUUUAGAGAGAAAUUGGGGUUGUUAAAAAUCUGAAAAAUUAUGUUUAAUUGAUUAGUUAAAUAACUGAAAUAACAUACUCAAAUUUGGGCGAAAAUGGAGAAAGUUUUCUGGAACAUCACCGGUGUCAAACGUUGUGUUUCCUCUUUGGCUUUACGGCUACCCUUCCGACUCCCUUCCCUUCUUUUGUUUGUUUUAUUUUAUUAACAAUUAGGGUUCAUAGAGUCAAACUCAUUGGUCUCUUUAUUUAUAUUUUACUAUUAUUAUUUUUAUUUUGUUAAAAUAAAACUAAUAAUUAUUUAAUCUCCUUUUUAAUAUUCCUCCAAACACCAUUUAGUUUUUCAAACAUUACUAAUAUUUUAUAAAUUAGAGUAAUUAAAAUAAUCAAUAUAAAAAAAAUAUUACACUAAAAUACUAUUUUUUUUAAAUAUAUCAAAUAACAAAAUAUAAUAUGUAUUAUUUAUAUCGCUCAAGUAAUAUAACAUGUAUCAAACUAACACAUCAUCGAAAGCAUUCAUAUAACGAAAAUUAGCCACGAAAUUUAUCAACAUAUAUUCUAAAAUAAUAUUAGUCAUCAAAUUAAUUAUUUAAAAUUCUAUUUAAUUAAUAAAGUAGUUUAUUAUAAAAUUUGGGGUGUUACACUCUCUCUCUCUCUUCUCUCUUCUCUCUCUCUCUCACUUUCACGAUCACAUGUAUACCUACCACUUAGACCUUCUUUUCUUUCACCACCAACCCCACUUUCUCUUCCAUCCUAACACUCGUUUCACUUUGUAUUGUUCAUCAUCAACAUCCCCUCUUUUUCCUUUUCUUCCUAAGAUCCUUCAAUGGUAGCAACCAUAUGAAGUUCUCUUCCUCUAAUCUAACCUCGUGCAUGUCCUCUCCUUCAUAUUUUGUGUUGUUUACAGUCAAAGGCAACAUUAAAAAAAAGAAAUAGACCAGAUUACGGAAUCUCAUAUUUGAACCAUUGCAGCAGAGACAUAAGUGUUAAGAGCUAGGAAAUCAGAAAACUCUCGAACCCAGCUAGACUCUAAAGGAAAUUUCUCAAUUCAAGCGUAUGAGUUAUUUUCGUAGAACUAAUUUUCUCAUUUGCAUGUGGGAUUUUGAGAUUGACUUUAAAUUCAUCCAUUAUUGGAAAUUCAUUUUAUGGGUUUGAAAUAAUGAAUCUUUAAAAUUUAGAUUGAGGAAAAACUGUGAAGUUUGGCAUGUAGAAAUAAUGAAUCUUUAAAAUUCAUUCAUUCUACAUAUGUGUGUGUGGAUGACUAUAAUGUGUUAAGGAUUGAAUGAAUGAGGCUGAAAUGUUAGUGGGUUAAUUAGUGUUUUAUCUAUGUUAAAGCAUCCUCUGAACCUUCCCUUUGGACGUUCUAUGUAUCCUCUGAAAGUUCCCUCUAGACGUUCUACGUAAACUCCAUCUAAAAUUCCCUGAAGAUGUAGACUUCCUCUAAAAUUUCUAUUGCAGACUCUAAAUUGACUUCCUCUAUUUGAACCCUUCCUCUGAUCCAGUUCUUCCUCUGAUGGGACUUCAUUUGAUCUAGUUCUUCCUCUAAUUGGACUUCCUCUAAUCCAUUUCUUCCUCUAAUUGUACUUCCUUUGGUCUAAUUUUCCUCUAAUUAGACUUCCUAUGAUCAAGUCUUUCCUCUGAUGUGACUUCCUCUGAUCAAGUCGUACCUCUAACUUGACUUCCUCUAAUCAAGUAUUUCCUCUGACGUGACUUCCUCUUAUCAAGUAUUUCUCUAGUGUGACUUCCUCUAAACAAGUAUUUCCUCUAACUUGACUUCCUCUAUUCAAAUCUUUCCUCUUACUUGAUUUCCUAUGAUUGAGCCUUCCUCUGAUCAUAACUUCCUCUAACUGUAAUCUCUCCCAUUUCAUCUUUUUUUUUCUGUAACAUCCCUCUUCAGCAUAAAUAAUUGGUUGUAAUUUUUUGUUUUACUUAUUAGUAUACAAUUAUAAUUUGUAAUAAUAAUAACAAUAAUAAUAAUAACAAUAAUAAUAAUAAUAAUAAUUAAUAAUAAUGAUAAUAAUAAUAAUAAUAAUAAUAAUAAUAAAGAAAGAAAGAAAGAAAGAAAGAAAAGAAAAGAAAAGAAAUGAAGGAAAUUACUAAACUAAGGAAGAAAAACAAAAUAAAACAAAAUAAAAGAAAAAGAAGAAGGGUGGAGGAGAUAACUACCAAAUAGAAAGAAAUAAAGAGAGGGAGAGGAAGAAAGGGUAAGAUAGAGAAGAAGAAAGAGUGAGAAAGAGAGAAGAAGAGAAGGAGAGAAAAAAAAUUGACAAAACAAGAAAUGAGAAAGGAAAAGUGCAAUUUUUGCUCAAAGUCAAGGUAGAAAGAGUUGAGAGUACUAUCAUCUUCUCCAUUCUUUUGGAAAUCAAGAGGUGGAUUUCCAUUUUUCUAUUUCUCAUUCAUGCAUGUAUGAAAUAAUGUGUUCUAUAGGUUAAAGACUUGGGGUUUAAGGGUUUGAAACGAAGAAAUGAAUUUUUAAUUUUAUUCUUGGUUGGAUUUAGAGGUUUUGAAAUAGAUGGUUAAAAUGAUUUAUGCAUGUGAAGUUCUAUGACUGAAAUUGAGAAUAGAUUAUUGUAGAAUUGUGUUUCCUUGAUGACAUGAAAUUAUGCUCUUUUGAUGGGUUUGAAAUUCAAGUCCUUGAGUUUCAUUACUGUGAUAAAUUAGUUUGAGUAAAUUGAAUUUGUGAUUCUAUUUUGAUGUGUUCAUUAUUGAUUUAUUCAUAAAUUUGUAGCAUUUUUGUUUGCAAAGAUUGUUAGGAAAUUAGUGUGAUUGAAGGAGUGUUGUUAACUUAAAAUUGGCAGGACAUAUGUGUGAUGUUUUGGUCAUACAAUUUUCUCUAUACCUUAGUUCUAAAUAAUUGUUAGUUUUCCGGAAACUAGACUCAAUUACCUUCAAAUUGAGUACAAACUUUGUGAUGUUUGAUUGAGUAUUGAUGCUUAAAAAUGGAUUACAAGUAAGACUAGAGUUGUUGUGCUGUUUUUUUUUUUUCUGUCAUUGUGUAUUAUUUUGAUAAAUUACAAGAAUUAGGGGAUUAAUUUAAAAAAAUAGAAUAAAAUAAAAUUUUAUUUAUAAAGUAGACAUCAUAAGCUUUCCAAAGAGUGCUCAUUUACUCAAUUAUGAUACUUAUAAGUUCCUGUCAAUUGACUAUGUAGUUAAACUCAAUUUUGUGUUGUUAUAACAUAAAUUUGGGGCUGUUUUGGAUAAAAUAUAUCUUAAGCAUGUUCUAUUGAAUUUCAUUUUUCAUUAUAUGAUUAGUAUGAUAUAAUUGACUUAAUAAUUUAUGAUUGUUUGAUAGUCUUUAAUAUAUUUACCAAUAGAUGAUGUUAUAUAUAUANNNNNNNNNNNNNNNNNNNNNNNNNNNNNNNNNNNNNNNNNNNNNNNNNNNNNNNNNUAUAUAUAUAUAUAUAUAUAUAUAUAUAUAUAUAUAUAUAUAUAUAUAUAUAAACAUAUUUUGAAAUAGAUUUUGAUAUAUGCAUUCAAAAAUGACAAAAGGUGGUCCCUUAAUAUUAUGCCAAAAUUUGAUACAAACCAACAAGUCUUUAUCAAUCUACCAUACUUUGAGCAUUUUCUUUAUCAAUGAAACAAAAGAAUCACUUUAAAACAUUAAUUAAAAUAAAAAAUUAAAACCACAAAUUGGGGCCAACCUUAGUCGAUACCAUCUAUCUUCAUGGUUUGUCUAUUUCCUAUCAUAGAUUAAUAUGCGAAAAAUAAUCCUAAAAAAAUUUAUUGUUUUUUAGAUAGGGAGUCUAUCCAAUUUGCUAUAUUUAUUUAUUUAUAGAUUUCCUUUAUCAAAGUAUUAAACGUGAAUAUAUUUUUCAACCAGAAUUCAAGUAUAUGUUUGCCAUGUUGUAGGAAUUAACUUCUUCCAUAAAAUGUAACACCUAAUUUAUCUUUGAUCAUGCAUGAGUUGUUCACUACUUUAUCCUUUUAUUAACAAUGUUGGUUUACAUUUAUUUAUCAUAAAAAAUGUUAAAUAAAUAAAUGAUAAAUAUCUUGUUAAAAAUAAAUAAAUGAAAAUAUAUUUCCUUUUGCCUCUUACAGCUAAAAUUAUAUGUUUUUUUAAUACUUUUUUGUUGCAUAAAAAAUUCAUUUGGACUGAAAAAUUCAUUUUUUAUAAUUACUAAACUUAAAAGGUAAACCCAACAAAUUUAACCCUAUUAAAAAUAAGUAGCCAAUUUUUAUCUAAUUUUGUUUUAUCUGUCUUUGAAAUUUAUUCAUCAAACCAAUUUUUUUCUUCUAGAAAUCAAACUAACUUAUAAACUAAAGAAUUUAACAUUAUUAGGAGAUAAAAAAGUUGAUUUAAUAGCAGUGAUAUAUGAGUUAAGGAGUGCAAAAAUAAGGAAAUCAAUAAUUUGAUUCCAAUCUUUAACAUAAUCCUAAGUACUAACAAUAUUAAUAUAAUAUUGAUUGGGUUGUUAAAAAAAACGAAUUUACUUGUGAAUAGAAACUUUUUUGCAUUUAUUACUAUGUGGAUCUAACUCUACUAAUUCAUGACAAGGUUGAUUGAGUAUAAUAACUAUGAAUAUGACUAAAAAAUUAUUAAUAACCAUGAAAAAUAGAUCAUUUUAUUUUUGGAUUUAUGACAAUAAUUAAGUUAAAAAAAUCAUUUUCAACCCUUAGCAACAAAAAAAAAAUCAUUUUGAUCCACAUGAAUAAUAAUUUUUGUCCUAUGCAAUAAUGAUAGACAGAGAUGUUUACUAUUAUGCAACAAAAGUAUAAGAUAUGCAUUCUUUUAGGUGUAAGAGGCAUAAGGAAAUAUAUUUGUCAUUUAUUUAUUUUUCUAAAAAAUAUUUGUCAUUUAUUUAAUAGUACUUUUCUAUGAUAAAUAAAUAUAAGCCAACAUUAUUACUAAACAAGAAAGUGAACAACUCAUAGAGAGUAAUAAAAAUUACAACCAUGACAUAUUGACAUAUAAGUGAUUUAUACAAAAAUAAAAAAUUCUCUAGUAUUAAUUCUUGCAUAUCUAUUUAUGGUAGAAAAUGAAAAAAAAUUCACGAGAAAGUAUGCAUUUACUUAUGGUGGUCCCAUUUUGUGGUUUUAAUUAUUAAUGUUUUUAAUCAAAAUUGUAAAAGGAUUCUUUUGUUGUAUUUAUUAAAUAGAGUGUUCAAAGUGGUAAUUUGAUAAGGAGUUGGUUGGUGUGUAUCCAAUUUUAACAUAAUUUCAAAGGUUUUUUACUUUUUAUUUUUUUUUAUUUCAAUUUUAUUAUAGAAGCAAUCCAUAUCAAAAUAUGUCCACAUUAUUCGAUGCCUAAUUUUAAUUUUGUUUAAUGCAUAUAUGCAAUCUAUAUCAAAAUAAAUGCAAUUUUGUUCAAAUAAAUAAUAAAUAAAUAAAUAAACAAAUUGGAAUUUUUGUAACUUCUUAAAAUGGAACAUUUCUAUGUAUAAAUGAUGUAUAGGAAAUGUAAAACAUCUUCUUUUUUUUUUCUAAUGUUUGAAUUUUUUUUUAAUUAACUGUUGUCAUAAGUCCAAAAUAAAAUGAUAUAUUGUUCAUGGUUAUUAAUAAUUUUUAUUCAUAUUCAUAAUAAUAAUAAUAAUAAUAAUAAUAAUAAUAAUAAUAAUAAUAAUAAUAUAUAAUUAGCCAAUUUUUAUCAAUUUUUAUUUUCUCUUUCUAUUUGAAACUCACAUAUAUAGUAAAAAAAAAAGUUAGAGAGUUACCAUAAUCUACCCCUUGAAUUUCCUAGUCACCAAUAUUAAUGGAUCAUUCAUCUAUAUAAACCUCUCUUCAUCUAUAUAAACCUCACAUUUCUCCAAUAUUAUUUGCUACAUCACUUUUCUUCUUAAUUUUUUUCUUCCUCAAUUUCUUCCUCUUCCUAUCCAUCCUUGUAUUCAUAGCAAUCAAUGUACCACAUAUACCUUAUCAAAUCACCACUUCCAUCUACACUAAAAACCUCUAAUUCAUUCCAUUUUCCUUUCCUUCCACACAUUCCUAUAUAAACCUCACAUUCCUUUGAGCUUGCAUUCAUACUUGAGUUGAGUAAUCUCUUGAUCUAUAUAUUGAAAAAUGCAUUGGUAUAAUCGAGCUAAAAAAAACAUAUGGUAAUUCAUUGUUAUUAAACAAGUGUGCUAUAUUAAUAGUUAUUAAUAAUACAUAUAUUUAUAUUAAAUUUUAAUUGUUAAUAUACAUGCAGAACUAAUAUAAUAUAUUAUACUUUACAUAAGAUUCAAAUUUCAAUUUGUGUUCUUUUUACAUUUUUACCUUAGAUAUUUUAUAUUAUGGUUAAUUAAUUAAAAUAAAUAUUUAGAACACAAUACUCUUAAAUUAGUUUCACACACUCACAGAUUAAAUAUAUAUAAAUAUUGAUAAAGUUAUGUUUUUUCUUGUACUUUAAAGUUUUCAGAAUUUUUUAAUUGAUGUUCUACAUUUUUUAAAUGAUUUAUUAUGUUAAUUUAACUAUACAAAACUAUACAUUUAAAAUAUGACUUGUUAAUUCACUUAAUCUUUGUUUUCCAUGAGUUAUAUUUGUCAAGAUAUAGUAUUUUUUAGGCAAUAAUCAAUAAUUUUAUCAAUAGUUUUUUUUAGGAAAUAAUCAAUAAAUUUCAGCGAUUACACAUUGGGGAGCAUGAAAAUUGAAGGCCAUUAAUCAACAUUCAUAUUAUUAUUAUUAUUAUUAUUUUUUUUCCCUUUUAAGUUCUAUUAGUCAUUUUUUACUUGUUGUUAUAAUACUAAUUACUCAUUUUUUUCUUCAGGUAUUUGAUCAUCCUUAUAAUUAACUUGCUGCACUAAGAACAUUCUUAGCCUCUUUCGAUAUUACUUGGUACCAAUGUUAUUUACAUACAUCCUAUUUUUAUAUCAUUCUUUCACACAUUCCUUUUUUACAAUAAUAAAAAAUAAAAAUAAAAAUAAUGUUUUAUUAAAAUUUACUAAAAAUAAAAAGGUUUACUAUUGGACCAUAACAAUAUUAAAUUAUCCAUAUUUAUUGAAAAGUGUGUCUCUAAUAUUGUAAAACACCUCUGUACACUUUUGUCUUCCUGAAUGGAACAUUUCUUAUCAACUUAGGACUUGAUAUAUGGUUUAAUUAAGUUAUUGACUAUAAUAUAUUGACUUGGCUUCAUGUAUAAUAUUAUUAUUUUUUGAAAGGAUAUAAGCCGUGCUUAUUAUUAUGUCUUGGUCAUUUAUUAUUGAUUAAUAAAUUAUAAUUACUUUAAUAAUAUUUAAUUUUGUGUUGUAUUUUAACAGCACUCUUUUAGUCUUUCCAGGAGCUAUUACUUUUAUUUUCAGGUUUUCUCUCUUUGUCUCUCUUUCAUUUAUUUUUUACAACUACUUUGUAAAAUAAAUUUUAAAAAUUGUUAUGUACACUUGUUUUAUUAUUUCAAACCUCUAUUUUUUGCUAUAAAUCUAAAAUACAGCAUUUAUUUUAUAGUUUCUUGCUAGCCCAUGUUGUUUACACAUUACGAUUAAUUAUUUCUUGUACUAAUUAAUUGUAAGGAUGUGUUAGAAGGUAAAAUUUUAUAAUUUUUUAUAGAUAGUAUUAGUGGUGUGACUUAAAUAAGUACAAAAAAAUGACAACACAUUUUAGUCUUUUUUUUCUCUCUUUCUCUGUUCGCGUCAUUUUUAAUUCUACUAUGACAAUAUAUUUUGGUCUUUUUUCUCUCUCUAAAAAAUUUAUUUUAUGUAUUUAAAUUUGAAAAUGUGAUUUUUUUUUUCAUUUAUUAUUUACUAUUUAUUUGUGUCAUAUCUUAUAUCUUAUGUUUAUUUGUGUUUCUCACUAUUAGAACUGCAAAAUGAAAUAUAUCUUAAUGAUUUUGGAAUACUUUACUAUGUUAAUUAAAGUGAUCAAUUAGAAAAAUAAUUAUUCUUAUAUUGAAAAUUUAAAGUGAUAUUUAUAUUUAAAUAAUUUUCUUUUAACUAAAUUCAUACAUAUUGUGAAACAGAAGAAGUAUAUAAUAAAAUUACCCCAUUAGUAAAUCAUCUCUAAAAAAAAACGUUAGUUGAAAUAUAUGAUUAAGAGCAUGAUGGAAAUACUUUAAUUAGUAUAGAGUGAUGAAUACAUUCAAUUAACAGUAAACUCCCAACAUACACAUUUCGUUCUUCGGUCAAUUGUUAGUGUUUGCCACUAUAAUUCAUUGUGAACAAACUAUAAUAUCAUAACAAUAAUAUGUGGGAAAAAAAACUACCAUCUCUCAAUGGUGGUUUAGAAUGGUGAGAUUGAGAACAACAAUAAUGGUUGAAAAAGUUAAAGUUGGAUCUAAGAAUGGAGAAAAUGGAACCACGAGAGUUUUUAAUAAGAAAUAAAAAAAUUGUCUAUUUGUUUUAUAUUUGUUUAUAUCUUUACCAGUUAUGCGAGUUUCAAAAUAUAUCAUCUUUUUAUUGUACAGUUCAAAUUCAUUAAUAAAUUUAUCAAUCAUUUUAAAGUAAGACUUUGUUAAAAUCUUGCAGGAUCAGAACCCUGAACACAUCACGUUUUGCUAUCUCGUCACGACACUUUUUUCAACAGAUUUUUGUUUCAUAUGUAUCCAUCUUACUUAUAGUGGUAAGCACUAGUGGCUAUAAAAAAGGUGUUUGCAUCUCGUCGCCUUGUUGAAGUGGAUCAUCAAGGUUCCUACAUGGUUUUCUACUGAUGACCGUAUCUUACUGUCUGAGCUCCAAAAAGGUCUAGCUCGACCCAACACCAUUGUGGCCAAGGAUGGUAGUGGCCAAUAUAAAACAAUUACAAUCGUUAUUAACCUAUACCCUGAGAAUCAUCAAGGAAGAUAUGUUAUAUAUGUUAAAAUGGGUGUCUACCGUGAGUACAUUACUAUCGACUCUAAAAAUAAAAUUUUAUUAUACGGUGAUGGUCCUACAAAUACAAUUAUCACUAGAAACAAGAACGUUCAUAUUGGACUCAAAUUACCCGAAACAGUCACAUUUUGUAAGUUAAUCAUUAACUCUCACUAUUUUAUUUAUCUAUCUUUUUUAAUGUUGAUAGAGAAUAUAAAGUUAUCUUUAUAUUUAUGUUAGUCGAGAAGAGGGAGAGAGAAAAUAUUGAACAACGAUUCUCUUAUGUUAAUCUAGUAUGUUUAUUAGAUCUUAAUUUGUUAGUUUAUUACAAAUUGUGUUCAAUAGUUAUGUUAAUUAAGAAGAAAGAAAAAAAUAUAAGUUAAUAGAGAAUUUAUUUAAAAAUUGCUUGUAAACAUUUAAUGCAAAAUUUGGGUAAUUUUUAUUUAUGUAGGUGAACGAAAAUUAAAUAUGAUGUGUAUUUUUCUAAUUAACCUUAUGUGAAUUAAUUUUUGAAUAUUUAAAUGUGCUUGCAGCCACCUUUGGUGAAGACUUCAUUGCCAUAUCAAUUGCAUUUGAGAAUAAAGCUGGUCCAAAAGCUCAACAAGCAAUAGCACUUUGUGUUGAUGGUGAUCACUCAGAAUUUUUCCGGUGUGCAUUUCUUGGUUAUCAAGACACAUUGUACACACGCAAGGGUCAUCAAUUCUAUCGAAACUGUGAGAUUUAUGGAACCAUUGAUUUUAUCUUUGGUGAGUCGAGUACUACCUUGAUCCAGAACUCUAAGAUCUUGGUAAGGAAGCCCAUUCAAGGACAACAAAACAUUGUGGUGGCAGAUGGCUCAUCCUACAAGGACGCGCACACUGGAAUAGUUCUCCAAAACUGCUCCAUCGUGCCUGACAUCCUUAUCGAUUUACAUUGAAGACUUACUUGGCAAGGCCAUGGAAAGCUUUUUCAAGGGAGGUCUUCAUUAACAAUUAUUUUGAUGAUUUUAUUCAACGGGAUGGAUAUAUGAUAUGAAAAGUUAAUGAAACAAACACUGAAAACUCGUACUUUGCUGAGUUUGGCAACAUUGGACCCGGUGUCAAUGCUACAUCAAUUGUUAAAUGGGCAAAAGGUGUCAUUACCAAAGAUGAAGCUGUUAGAUUCACUGCUGAAGAAAACUCUUACUUUGCUGAGUAUGGCAAUAGUGGACCUGGUGCCGAUACUACAUCAAGGGUAAAAUGGGCAAAAGGUCUCAUUACUCAAGAUGAGGCUGCUAGAUUUAUUGCUGAACCAUGGCUUAAUGCUAGCACUUGGUUGCCUUUCACUGGUGUGCCAUACAAUAAAGGAUUAUAGGCUUAUGAUAUUUUCUUUGUUUCAUUUCAACUACAAUACUUUGUAUUUUGAUUAUAACCAUAAUUGUUAUAAAUAAUAUUAUCUAUCAAUCGAAUCCUUAAUUAUCAAAGAAAAAAUAAUCUACAAUUAAUAUUAUUUCUAUAUAGACUAGAACUUGAAUCCAUGUUAUGCACAGAAAUUAUGUAUUAAAUUAAUACAAAGUAAAGUUACAUAUAUAGCAUAAGAAUGCUCCCAAGUUUCUAUUAAAAAUAUUAAACUUUAAUAUAUACUAGACAUGCACAUGUAUGUGCAAAAAAUAAACUGCCAUACAAAUCUAUAAAAAGUUAAAGUAGCAAUAUAAGUUAUCAAGUGUAAUACAACAAAGCAUAAUAAUCAUAUAAAAUAAACAUAAAAUCAUAUAAUAAACUAUUCGAUAUUUUGAAACACUUCUUUAUAAAAAAUGCAUUUGAUGUAAUAUUUGAAUCUUGGUCACUUAUGUGAUGAUAAACUGACUUUGUUGCAUAAUUCAUCAGUUUUACUACAACAUUUGUUAUCUCUAGCAACACUUUUUUAAGCAACAUGUAUAACAUGUUGUCUAAAAGUGGGUAAGACGACAUUUUAUGUCUGUUGUCAUCACUGUUUUUGCAAUAUUGUAUAAAUGUUCCCUAAAAUAUUUAUGAGAACAAUUUUGAAAUGUCUCUAUAGCAAUUCUUUGGUAAUAUAUAAUAACCAUUCCCUUAGACAUUUCUAGGAACAUUUUUCAAUUGCUACCUUAUUUCGAACAAAAGGCUAAAUUGCUUAAAAAAUUUAACAUUGAUGACGUUUUUUACAGAAUAAAUUCUUUCAAAUACAUUUUUAGAUAUUAUUUUUUUUUUAAAAAGAAAAUUUAUUAAUAGUGUGCCUAAAAGUGCGAAAAAAAUGUUGUCAAAUGUAAUAGGCAACACUCGCAUAUGAGACGCGCAAAAAAUGUUGCCUAUUCUCUUUGGCAAUAUUUUCCUGUGUUUAAUUGACAACAUUUUUCAAAUGUUGUUAAAAAGCAAAAAUAUUGUAGUGUUUGAUCUAUAUUCCUCAAUAACAUGACGUGGUACCCCUACUUUUAACCUAAAUACUCGUUGUUUAUAUAUAUAUAUAUAUGAUUGUUGGUUGAUUAGUUGUUGGUUGAAUUCUAUGUCUAAACCGAUAAAUUUUAUUUGAGUUUGAUUGAGCUCUCAACUUGUGAUUUUUAAGUUAAAUUCAAAUCAAAAUAAUUUGAUAAUGAGCAGUUGAUUUGGGUUGAGUUUGCGUGUUAUAAAAAUAAAUAUAUUGUUUCUCUUUUAAAAAAAAAUAAUUAAAUUUAAAUAUUUGAACACAUCAAAAUAAUAAAACUAUAUCACAACAUAAAAUAUAUCAACAAUCACAAUAAAAUAUUUAAAUCAAUUAAAUUAGCAAAAAAAAUUCAAAUAUAAUUUAACAAUUAAAUAUCAACUAUAUAUUUAUAAUAAUAAAUAAAUAAAUAAAAUUAUCUAGAUUUGAUUUUGAAAUUUAAAAUGUUAUAUCGCUACUCAAUUUAAACAUCAUUUAAUUUAAAUAGAGUAAUUUAUAUUAAUUCAAGCUUAAAUGAAUUGAGUUAUUUUCAAUAAUCAAGAUCACAUUCAUGAAAACCAAUAUGUAUACGUUUCCUUGACAUGAACUUUUGGUGUGGAGACUCCGAUUAACUGCAGUAAUUUUAUAUACGUAGUUACAAGCAAUUUUUAAUUUUUACCGAUGAUUUUAUUAUUAUACAUUCGAUAAAUUAAUCUAAUAUAGGUGAGUUUAGUUUUUAAAUUAGUUUUUAUUAGUGAAGUUAAUCUGUAAAAUUAUUUACAUAAGAACAGUUUGAUAUUGUAUUAAAUUUUGAUAAAUUUAAAACUACAGAGAUCACACUUACUUUUAUAUAAAUAAAUUUUAGAGUUUUUAUCAAAAUCUAUGGAUAUUAUUGUUUGGUUCUGUCAUUAGUAAUAUUUUAGUAUUGAAAUUUCAAGAGAUAUAAUUCAAAUCUCAUAUCAUACAAUUGUAAUUUAAUAUAUUUUAGUCAAUUUUUUUUCUUCUUAAUCUUAUGAUUUUCAAGAGAAAUAGACUUAAAAGUUUAAAGUUUUGACCGAUAAAUGAGUAAAAUUGCACAAAAAUUAUUUCAUUUAGAUCAAUUGAAUUUAAUACUUAUAAGUGAUUUAUCGUUAAGUGAAAACUCAUUAACUAUUUGGUUGAAUAAAUUUUAUUAUUUCUUAAGUUUAUUACUCUCUUCAUCCAUAAAUAUAAGUGUCUAUUGUUUUUUUUUUGCACUUAUAUUAAGAAAAAUUAGCUGUAUAUUAUAAUGUGUCUAUUUUGCUUAGAAAAAUGGCUAAAUUAUACUUUGUAUAUAGAUGUAUUAAAUAUUGACGUUUUUAUAUUUUAAGACAAAUUAGUACUAUUAAAAAAAUACAUAUUGGAAUUUGAAAGAUAACUUAUAUUUAGGGACGAAUUGUGAUAGGGGGAGGUCACGACCACCCAAAAUUUUCUUUUUUAGUAAAAAUAGGUAUACCUACAAUAAUAUUUAUCUAUAAUAUAUGGUAUAUAAUCAAUGUCUCGUUAAUAAUUUUAAAUUAUGGAGUAGCUUAGUGAUAAUGAAGAUUUUCCUAAACCUGAUGUCGUUGGUUCAAGUCUCCAUGAUAAUGUUUUUUAUUAUUUUUAUUGUAAAUAUAGUUGAUUGAUUGAUAAAAUUUUAAAUACUUAUAUUCAUACCAAAUACUUUUAGUACAUCUCACAAUUAAAAUUAUCACUACACCAAAAUAAAAUUUAUAUGAUUAAUUGAAAAUAUUUUAUUUUUAUGUUAGCCCCCAAUAAAACUUGUCAAAAUCCGCCACUAGAGACAAUUUUUUAUGAAUGAAUGCUUAUAAUUAAAGACGAAGAUAGUUUUUUAAAAAAAAAAUAACUCUAUUAGAUUGCUUAAGCUAGGGUUCGUGUAUAUUUUAAGAGUAUUUGUGGUUUUCCAUUCACAACUUUAAAUGUAAUUUUGUAAUUAAAAAGUAGAUUAACAUUAUGUUUGGGUUCUUUUGAAAACUAAUUCUACAAACUUAAUUUUGCUCUAAAUUCACGCUUAGUCAAAAGUAACAUAAUUGAUGCAAAAAAAAUUCCUACUCAUUUUGCCACUAAUCGCAAAGUACACUAACAGCAAAAUUCACAUUAUAUUAUAAUAAAAUAUACACCAAAUUCAAUAAAUACAUAUUUAAAAGUAUGUUAGGUUAUAUAAUCUAAACAAAUUUUAUUUUAAAAAAUGAAAUUUGUAAAAAAAGAUACCCAAACAUAAAUUAUAUUAAAAAAAAUUAUUUUUAACUACAAAUACAUUAAUAAAAUAAAUCUAUUUAAAAUUUCAUUUAUAAACGUUAAUAUAAACAAAUACUAAGUCAAAACCACUUUGUUAGGAAGGAACAUACAUGUGCACCGUUAAAAAGAAUAUACUAAUACAAUUUUUAAGAGGAAACAUUUAUAUUAUUAUGUAAACUUUCACAUUUUGCCUUUCUAUUACCACUACUACUACACAAUGGUUGGUUUGAAAAAUUGUAUUUCUUAUUUCUACAUAGUGAAAAGAAAUCACUGCAAUAAUUAAUCUUCUGGCCAAUGGAAACAACAAUCAAUCUGGGUGGUGUAAUUCUCCCACACUAGAGUCCCUACUUCAAACUCAAACAAUUUAAUAAAAUGUUUUUUUUUUUUGUCGUCAUUUAGGGGUUCAAAUAUUGUCUCAUAUCCAAUUUUACAUAUCAUACACUCAAUUCCUCGCAAAGAGUGGAUCGUAUACAAUAGAGACACUUACCUUACUUCUUCAAGUAUUCUUUAUUUUCUUCAUCCCAAAAUAAUUUAUUGACUUGCAAAAAAAAAAAUGUCAUAAAUGGAAGACUUUUUAUUCAAUUAUUAGAAAGACUUUUUUGUCUCACAAUGAAUGUUGUUUAAGGUUUUUGCACGCAUAUUAAGAAAUAUAAUAAUUAAAAAAAAAGAUUACUUAUAUUACUAAAUUAAUCAUUUUAGCUAUUGCUGAGUUUUUCACUAUUAUCAAUGUAAAGUACAAUAAUAUUCUGUAAAUUGUGCACAUAGUAAUUAUUUGAACAGUAAUAUACACUAGUAGAAAAAUGGCUUUUUAAUUGAGCAGAUUUAAGUCGUUUACGUGGCACCAGACUUAAAAAAUGAGGCGGAAGUAUAUUUAAGUCGGUUAUCCGUAUAAACGAGUUAAUAAAAUGAGGCGGUGGCAAUUUUGUAAAUAUGUAAAACACCGUCAACACGGUUAAAUUGUCAACCGACUUAACACAUCCCAUCAUACUUCGUGGCUAAAUCAGUUAAAUUGGCAACCGACCUAACAAAAUGAUGCGGUGGCAAUUUUGUAAAUAUUUAAAACUUGUUUAACGCGGUUAUAUUAAUAACCGACUUAAAAAUAACAUACGGUGCGUUUCUGUAAGGCAUAUUUAUUGCAACUUUUUAGCUUCCACCUUUGUUAACUAUUCUAUUAUAAAUCUUUCGUAUUCUCUAACAAUAUUUUCAUCACACUCAUCGCCCAACUCAGUUUUCAUCGUCGUCAAUCAGUUUCAUCGCCACCUUUUUCAGCCAAAUAGCUUCACGCCACCUUUUUUCACAAUCGCCAAACAGCUUCAUCGCCACCAUUUUAGGUAUGGUUGUUCAGGUUAUUGAAUAAUAAAUUUACAUGAGUAAUUUUUUGUUCAGGUUAUUGAAUAAUAAAUUUACAUGAGUAAUUUUUUACAAUUUUCUACUCUUCUAUUGUUUAAUAUAAUGAGGCGUUAAUAAAAUGAUUAAUAUAUGUGUUCAUAAUUUCAUUUAGAUAAUAUCAUAUUAUUUGAAGGAAAAAAANNNNNNNNNNNNNNNNNNNNNNNNNNNNNNNNNNNNNNNNNNNNNNNNNNNNNNNNNNNNNNNNNNNNNNNNNNNNNNNNNNNNNNNNNNNNNNNNNNNNNNNNNNNNNNNNNNNNNNNNNNNNNNNNNNNNNNNNNNNNNNNNNNNNNNNNNNNNNNNNNNNNNNNNNNNNNNNNNNNNNNNNNNNNNNNNNNNNNNNNNNNNNNNNNNNNNNNNNNNNNNNNNNNNNNNNNNNNNNNNNNNNNNNNNNNNNNNNNNNNNNNNNNNNNNNNNNNNNNNNNNNNNNNNNNNNNNNNNNNNNNNNNNNNNNNNNNNNNNNNNNNNNNNNNNNNNNNNNNNNNNNNNNNNNNNNNNNNNNNNNNNNNNNNNNNNNNNNNNNNNNNNNNNNNNNNNNNNNNNNNNNNNNNNNNNNNNNNNNNNNNNNNNNNNNAAAAAAAAAAAUUAUUAUUUUAACUAUAUAUCUAUUAAGUCGGUUGAUCAAAAUAUCCAACUUAAAAAGAUGAUGUGUUAUAUUGAAUUUAUGAUGUUUAAGUCGGUUAAUCUGAAUCGACUUAAUAUGAUGACGCUCUGUUAAGUCGGUUCAUGAAACGAGUUAAAAAACAACAUGUUUUUUAAGUCGUUUGCUGUUAACUCGGGCACAGAACCGACUUAAAAUGUACAUUUUAACCGACUUAAAAAGACAAAAUUCUACUAGUGAUAAGAAAAAAAUUAUUAAAGUUGUAUUAAAAAUUGAAAAUGACAUUCAUUUAGAGACAAUUUAUUGUGCUUAAAUGACACUUAUUAUGAGACGAUAGAAUAUUUUAUAUUGUGUAGUUACUUUUUUAGUCUAAACCACUCAUUAUUUUUAUCAUUGUUUUUUAUGAAUUUUCCAUAUUAAAUUUGAGGUAUUUUAGUUAUAACUUUUUAAUCCUUUAUUGUUAUUAUUUUUGGUAUUGUUUUUUCAUUGGUAAUUUUUCUAUUCAGCUUGUACAAGAAAUACUUAGUCUAGCGAGCUCCAAAUAUUUUGUUACAUUAUAGUCCUAACAACUAGCAUUGGAGUUUCUGGUCUCUUGUGAUAUAUUUAAAAGAUUAAUUUGUGCAGUUUAGUAUAAAUCGGUUCAGUUUUGAAAAAAACAUUUAAAAUUCGAUUUGAUUUAUGCGUUUUUUCCAAAAUAACAUCCAAUGAUAUUCGAAUUUGUACGAUUUUCAAUUUUUUGAACCAAUUUGAAAUUUUAUUCUUUGAUCAGUUUAAAUAUCAACAUCAUUACCUUUAAAUAUGUUGAAGUAUCUUUUAUAAUAUCAAUAAUUUCAUAUGCUUAUAUUUUAUUUUGGAUGAAAUAAAUAAAUAUCUUUAAAAAUUUAAUGCAUAUUGACAUAUUCAAAAGUAUUCAAAUAAUAGUAUUAAAUAAUCCAACUCACUAACAAUUAGAUUCAACACAAUAUUUUGGAUUGGAACAAUUUAACAAGCAAGCAAAAUCCAAGUUUAAAUUUGUUUUUUAUUUUUGUAAAUAUUUGUAAGAUUUUUGUUUGGAUUUAAUUAUUGUAAAAUUAGAUCGACUUUGAUCCCUAACAUCAAAUCAACAAUAUAAAAAAAGAGCGUUGAAACAUGUGACCCUAUAAAUGUACAUCGUCUUUUAUAAUAUAUUAAAAAUAAAAUGAUUGAUAUUAUUAAUUAAUAAAUAUAUUAAUUAUCAUUUAAUAAUUAGUGUUAUUUUAUAAAAAAAUAUGAAUAGAAAUUAAAAGUGGAGUUUAAGAGUUUUUAGAAAACCCGUAUCUUUCGUGCUACGACGGUUUGCCAGCUCUUUUUUUAUAACAUUUGAUUUGAUGUUAGAAACAAAAUCAAUCGUCUCUGAUUUUAUAGAGAAUAAAUCUAAAUAAAAAAUUUAUAAAUAUUAAAAUAAAAAAACACUAUAAGAAAUUUGAUUUUUAGCAAAAAUAUGUAGAUAAAAACAAAACAAAAAACUGGAUCAUAUCCCUCAAAAUUUCAAUGAAAGGAUCUAUCCCUCAAAAAACUGGGCCAUAUCACUAUUUUGAAUUUUUUUUUUUUGUAAAAGAAUAAUAUUUUUAGUUUGUAAAAAAAGGAUUUAUAAAAUCAAAAUAGAAACUAGAAAUAAAUAAAAAAAAAUUUAGGGAUAAGUUUAAAAGUUUAUAAUUUUGUAGAAAUUAAAAUUAUAUUUCACCCACAAAAAAUUUACACUCAUUUUAUUAUAUUAUAGAAAAUAAAAAUUAAGAGCUUCACUAAUUGAAGCUAUGUGCUAUUGGACUACUUGCAUAUUCCAAUACCGGAUUAUUACUCAACGAAACCCAUGCCGACGCACAGGUGGCAUAUCCUUGAUAUUGUAUUAUACAUGCAUUGUUUAGACAUAAAAUAAUAAAUCUCAUUUUAUUUAUCAGUAACACGUAUUUGUUCCAUAAUUUUUAUUUUUCAAUAACAAAGAUUAAUUUGUCUCAUAUUUUUUAAUGUAUCAAACACAAAUAUUUAUCCUAUAAUUUUUUAUACAUCAUUAAUAAAUAUUUGUCUCAUAUUUUAUUUUUUAAUAUUCAUCAGUGACAUAGAUUUAUCUAGAGUGUUGAAAUUAAAGAGGGCAAAUUCAAUUUUUUUAAUAUUAGUAUUUUUGUUAGUGUUCUCAUUUUUUAUAUUAAUAGUUGAAAGAUGAAAAAGAAUAUUUAAUAAGAAAAAAAAAUGAUUGAGUGGUUUAGACUUGUAUAUAUAAUAAUGAUUAGAAAGUAGUAUAAAAAAUUGUGCAAAAUAUUUGAAUGAAACAUUGUCAUUAUUUAUAAGAUCAUUAUUUCUUUCUUACUAAGGUAAUUAUAUUUCUUUUGUAAAAAAACGUAAUUAUAUAUAUUUUUUAUAUUAAUGUUGUGCAAAAAAAAAUUAAAUGAAAGAAAUCGUAAUUUUUAUCUCCUAAAUUUUUUUUAAGUUAAUUUCUAUUACAUAAUUUUUUUUUACUAAAGUAAUUUUUAUUUUGUCAAAAUAAAAUAUGGUUAUAUUAUUUUUAGUUAUUUCUUUAUUUAUUUUUUAAAUUUACUUAUUUACCUUUAAAUAAUGACGUGACAACGAAUUAAAUAAAAAUAAAUUUGUAUUUUUUGUAGUUAUUUUUUUAUUCAUAUACAUAUUAGAUAAAUUUUAAUCUUCUCUUUUCAAAAAAUAUUAUUUUAAUAUUUUAUUGUACAAUAGUUAAUAUUUUAAUAUAUUAAUUAUAAUAAAUUUAAUUUUUUUAAAUUUAUUAUUUUAUAUAUAUAAACGAGUAUGAAUAUAUAUUGUUAAUUUGAUAGUUGGCAUGAUGGAAUUAGAGAAAAAAGUGAUAAAAAAAUGUGGUGAGUUUAAUUUUCACCUAUAAUAAAUUACUAAUAUUGAGUUACAAAAUUUAUAUAUAUAUAUAUAUAUAUAUAUGAUCGAUUAGUGUAGGAAUAGAGAAACUAAAGUAGCAACAAAAAUAGAGAUUGAAACUUAAAUUUGAAAUCUAAAAAAAACAUGAGUGUAAAUUUGCUCAUUUUGAAAUUAGGGAUGGGAAUAUGUUAGGCCGUUCGACAGGGACUUAUGGUCUAGCCUACUUAUGAUCUGGCCUGGUCUGACCUAUUUAAUAAAAAGGCUAAGCUCAGACUAUUUUUAAAGCUUAUUUAUUUAAAUAUGUCAGGCUCAGACUUAUAAAAAAGCCUAUUAGGUCGACCUAUAUAUAUUUAAUUAUUUAUUAAUAUUAUUUUUUAUUGUUAUAUUAAUAAUAUUAUUUCCUAUUUUAAAUUCUAUCAAUUAAACAAUCACUCAGUAGUCAUUCUAUAUUCGGUAGUCAUUCCAUAUUUGGUAGUCGUUCCAUAUUCGGUAGCUAUUCAAUUAGUCGAUAACUCAGUAGUCUUUCCAUAUUUGUUUGAAAGAUAAUAAUAAGUGCAUUUGUUUCAAAAGAAAAAAAAAAUUAUUCUUUGAAACCAAUAAUUAUAUUUUAGGGUUUCAAGAAUGUUUGUUUCAAAUUUUAUUUAAAAAUUAUUUUGUUAGAAAAAUUAUUAUUUUUAUUUAAUAUAUAUAAAUAUGUACAUUGAUAUUAGUAUCUGGAGAGUAGAGAAUUUAAAUGUUUUAAUAUGAAUAAGACUUUUAAAUAAGCUUCUAAAACAGACCAGACUUUUAAAAAAGUUAAGUCAGGCAACAAAAAAAAAAGCUUAUGAUAGACCAUAUGCCAGACUCAGACAUUUCAAAGUCUGAUCUGACCUACUUAUUUCCACUUCUAAUUAUCAUGUAGAGUAAAUGCAAAUUAAAAAACCUACAUUUAAAUAAAAUAAAAAAACUUAAGCAACACAUGUGUAAAAAUGACAUAUAAACAUAAUGUCGUAUGAAUUUGCAAAUUAAAGAUGUGUUCAAAUGCCAAAACUUUGAAUAAUAUAUAAUAAUUUAAAAUUAACUUUUUUUAAAAAAUUUCAUAAAUAUUUUUAAUUCUAAAAAGUUAUUUUUAUAAAUAAUAAUUAUAACUUUAUAACUCAUAUAAAAGACAUUUUGAGUUAUCUAUGUUCACCAAACUACCGUGAAAUUAGUCAAAUAACAAAUACUUUUUUAAAUUUAAUUUUUCAUCUUUUCAAAUCUUGUUAAAUAUCAUACUUUUAUAUAAUUUUUUAUUUCUCCUUCCUCAUCAUAUUAACCAAUAAUAAUUUAAUUACCAUUUUCACAGACUUCUAUCUUUGUUUUGUUUUUAUAAAAUUUAUUAUUUUUAUUAAAAAAAUGUCAUAUAUUAAUUUAAAUAUUAUUUUAAUGUAAAAUAAUCCAAUAAACCAAAGUUGUAGUGGAAUAAUGUUCAUUUUCACCUAUUGAACACGAGAAGAUUUAUUGGACUAAACCAAACAACAUAGAAUCAUAAAUAAGAAACAAAUGACUUUUGAAAUGUUCUAUACUCCAAGUUUAAACAACCACAACUUCAAAGGAAAAAACAUUUACAUAAACAAAGAACUAGGAUUCCACUAAAACCUUCUCUUCAAUUAGAUGACUCAUGCAACCUUCGUUCACCUGCAGUUUGAUGAACCUCUCCACUUCCUACAAAACAAAACAACCCAAAAUCAUAAAUUUUAACUCACUUUUUUAACAAAAAGAUAAUAAUAAUCCAUAACUCAAACAAAGAAACAUCUUGGCUAGACAUUAGAAACAAAAAAAUAAAAUCAUAAAUCAAUAAACACAACAUGGUUCUACUCGGAUCAGUAAAAUCAAAAUCAAUCGAUCUAGAUGCGUGAAGACAAGACUUAACAUAAUUUUAAAUUGUAUUUCCAUGGUCAAAUCAUAAUCAAUAUGAGACCUAUAAAAUAUUGACACAAACAGAUACAUCAAACACAACCUCGAAGUAAUAAUUUGUACCAUGUAAAUGUAACUAUUACAUUUAUUCACAUUACAAAUGUAAUCUUAUGUAUCUCCACUGUCCCACCGUCCGAUCAAAAUCAGACCAUUCAAAUCACAUAAUUCGAUCAGAUUUUUUCAAAACUAUGAAAUGAAAUAAAAAGAAAAACUAACCUUGAUUGGUUUGAUUCUCACCUGGUUUACCAAACCAAGAUCCAACAACAUCCUUAACCAUAUCAACCAUAGCCUUAUUACUCUCUUCAUGAUCUUUCUCUUUCUCAUCAUCCCAACUCCCUAACCUCUUCUUCACUUCUUCAGACUCAAUCACCUUCCCCUUUGGUCUCACCACAUCACUACCCUCUCUUUCAUCAUCCUCAUACAAACUCUCAGAAAUCACAUCAGAAAGAGCCUUCUCUUCCACUCCAGGUCUCAACUUUUCAGCUAAAUAGUCUUUCAUUGACACCCCUUUAUCCUGUUCUACACCCCCACUUACCCUUUCACCAACAUUUCCACUAACUGGAGUUAACUUGUCUGUCAAGGAAACUGCAAUUCUCUUUCCAUAUUCUGCAGGUGACACUGCAGAAGAAUAAUUUCUAUCACUCUUCUUCUUCUCUUCAUGGCUUGUUACCUUUGAAUCUCUCUCACUUUGAGAAGUUUCAUCUCUCUCACUUUGAGAAGUUUCAUCUUUUCCGCCCACACCGAGCUUUGAAGCUACUGUGUUUUUAGCUUGUGCAGCUUUAUCCGCUACUGCAGAUGUUGCAGAUGAGAUUUUCUCUGAAUAACUACUCUGGUUUUGAUUUGUUUUGUUUCCGCCUUGUUCGCCAUAUCCAAGCUUCGAUGCGACUGCAUUUUUAGCUGUUGCGGCUUUAUCGGCUAUUGCAGAGGUUGCAGAUGAGAUUUUUUCUGUGUAACUACUUUGGUUCGACGGUGUUUCUCCGGCUGUUCGUUGAUAUGUUUCGUUUUCGCCUUG